rnacentral:lncRNA from 1 species
ACCCCGGUCCUUUUUUUUUUUUGCUUAAUAAACGAAAGGGUUCCUUGCUACCAACCCAAUUUGGAAGCAGCAUAAAAGAUUUAGGCUAAACCACAAUGGUGUUAUGGUUUAGAAAUCCAUUACAAAAGCGAAAAGAAGGUAUAAAGAAUGGUUGUAGCAGAUUCUCCAUUUCUGAGCAAAAUUUACCUCUGACACAAAAUGAUGCCUUUCUAGACUUCUGUACAUGAUAAAUAGAUCGAACAAUAAUAUAUAGAAGAUCCCAUCACAUAUCCUUCCCAUCUCGCACAAUGUUUCUUCAAAAAAUUAUUUAAUGAUUCCAAGGGUCGAGUCUACAAAAAAAAAUUAAAAUGAAAAAGCAUAGAAAUCACAUCAUGCAUUUUCUUUUCAAUUUUUAAAGCACGUUAGAGGGAUAACUAGAUGACAGAUAGCAAAGACAGCGCACCAUUGCCUCGGGUUCUUAUUCUUCUUCUAUUUUUCUCUCUCUCAUUUUUGGUUUUCUUUUUGUGUACACAAUGAAAAUCAAAAGCUGCAUGCUUUGCAAAAAUCGAGCCAUUUUCUUUAGUUAAACCAAUAAGGGAAUUUUCUUUUAUAUUGAGGACAUGCUCCUAUGAGCUAAAUAACUAUUUAUUUUUGCCAUUUUGUAAUAUAUCUCCAAUACAUCUUUAGAUCUUUUUAAAAAAAAUUAAAAGAAUUUAUAGCCAAGCACUUUAUUCUUUUUCACUUCAAGCCAAGUUCAUCUAUAUAACUCUACCAUCUUUUCUUUUCUUCUCCUUUAUUUAGUUCCGUGUCAACAAAUGACAAACAACUCACAACCUCGAGUUGGGGCGUGAGGCAUAUAUUCUGUGAGAAAAAUAACAUUAUAUUGCCGAGGAUGACUUGCACACCUUAUCUUUAACAGUUUUACAUAUGCAAAUCUCGAAAAUUCUCCAAUUCUGAUACUAGAAGAGAAUAAAAUGUAGCUGCCAACCUCCAUAAUCAAAGAAAAAUCCAAUUAAAAUAUUUGGAAUACUUUAGACUGUUAAUAUGCGUGGUAAUCAACGUUGCUAUGAUAUAUGUCAUUUUGAGUUAAUGUUUUUCUUUCAAUUUUAAGAGCUAAUUAACGUCAACAUGUAGUUCAAGAGCGUGAUUUCUUGUUGUAGUACUUAAUCAAUUCUCAAAUAUUUGUGUUUAAUUGGUAAGGAUCGAGAAGGUAUGGGUAUCUUUAAAAAAAAAAAGGGAUAGAACUAUCUUAUUUAAAAACUUGAGGGGCUGAAUUUGUUCGUUGUUUUAUUCGAAAGCCCAAUUAGCACUAAUGUGACAUUGUGCAUUUAGAUACCAUAAAAUAAUAGAAGUGAUAUUUGCACUCCAAAAUUAAUUUCUUGCACUCCUUAGAGGCAUGUUAUUUAGUGAGUGGAUUGGAGUGCAAGAGCCUAAAAUGGACGCAUGGAUAUCAAUUUCCUAAAAUAAAUAAAUUAUUUUUUAUACAUUGACAGUGUAUAAUUAUCAGAAUUGGAUGUUGGAUGUAUGACAACAAAUCUUAAUCUGAAUUUGAAAUUCAAAAUUUUGCAUAUAUCCUGAUAGUGUGUGUGUGUGUGUAUGUGUGUGUGUAUAUAUAUAUAUAUAUAUAUAUAUAUAUAUAUAAUUGUGACAGUAUAUAUCCUAAAAGUGUAUAUAAGAUUAGAGUCUAUCUACAAACAACCGAUCUAAAAUCACAAAAUUGCUAAAUGAUAGACACGAAUAUGAAAAUUCUUAAAAUCAUAAAAGUGGGUCAUCUUUUAGUUUGUUUUUACAACUUAAGUCAUAUGUUGCUUAGUUUAGGAUUGUCCAUAAUAAGAUUAAUUUAAAAUGAAUUUGUCAAUGAGGCCCAAGUGUAUUGAUUGAAAACAACCACGGUAAAGACUUCAUGAACAAAAGGUUUUCUAUUAUGGACUGUAAUUAAUUUUCUACUCAUUCCAUCCCAUUUAAUAGUCUUGAGAUUUUUCUCAUAUAGUUUUAAGAAAAAUUAGCUAAUUUUGUUGGAAAGUAAAUCUGACCUAAUGUUUUUCUAAAUACCUUUAUAUUAAUAUUAAGAGUAUCAGUAAUCACUAUACCUUUACAUUAAAUAUAACAACAAUAAUAAUGGUAUAUUACACCAUUCAAGACAUAUAUCAAGUGGAAAAGUUGACUGUGUUAAAUAAGGUAGAUUAUAUUUACUAAUAAUGAAGUAUAUUAACCAAGGGUAUUUUGGAGAAAUUAAAAAUUAAAUAUAUUCUUGAAUUGAAAGUUAGACUAUAAUUUGAAAUGGAUGAAAAGAAAAAUAAAACUAUCAAAAUAGAACGGAGGGAGUAUAAAUAUGUGUCUUCCUCUAUAUGGGUGGUUAUACGCUUAUUGUUGCUAACUGAAAGAAAAUGAAAUGAAAAGAGAAUUUAAACUUUUCUUUUUCUUUCAUAUGCUAAGAUACAACUUAUAGACUCCAUAAGAUUUUAGUAUGCAGUCCAAGGUUGAGACACAAAAAAGUAGAAGUCUACAAAUAUGAGUUUGAGUCUCACUAAAUGUGAGUUUUAUUAGCAAUAAGCCAUUCAACAUCCCAUUGGUUUUGAGUUAGAAGUUACAAUUGUGGAUUACUUGCGAACAUAUAAAAAACCAUAUGACUUAAUAGACAUGAAAAGCCUCAUUCCCAUAAAAAUCCCAUAACAAUUUGAUUCUCGAGAAAAAGCUAAUCAAGGAAAAGCCAUUCUAGAAUUUUUUUUUUUUUCUUGCAACGAACAAAAGAUGCCCAGUUCAUAUUUGCUGUUCUUGUUUGAGCAGUAGAGGAUCGUUCCAAGUUCGUGCGUCGGCAUGGGAUAGGGUGUUCUUGUGGUUGUCUGACAGACUAACCUCUAUUGUUUUGUUCUUCUAUUUUUUUUUUUAAUUGUGGUUAAAAUUAAUUGAUUUAUCAAUUUUUUCCAAAGUAAACAUUCUUGUUAAUCGAGGCCAGCUUAUGGUAGCACAUGACUCAGACAACUGAGAACCAAACCUCAUUCAGACCAAUUUAAGUGAAAAUUUCAAUUUUUGCUUACCAUUUCGAAGAAAAAUUGCUUUUGCCUGGCAUGUUAAAGAAUAAUCCAAAUUGAAAAGAGUGCUGGCUAAGGCCAGUUGCUUAGUCUUGCGAUCUUCUCUCAGGAUAAACUAUCACCUCUUCCGCCAAGAGAAACCAAAGUCUUCUGAUACACUAAUUUGGGGAGUGAAAUCGAUGGACUUUUGCAUGGCUAAUAUGACUAACUUAGUCCAAGUUGAUGAAAUACCUAGAUAUAACAGUGUCUCUCUGUUUUUUUUUUUCAUUUUUCCUGUUAGGCGGCCUCAGGGUGCAGGGCCUCGCUAUAAAAUAUCACGUGUAUUAUUUAAUGAUUUUUUUCAAUUCUGUACUCUAAAGGCACAAUAGUGGUGAGAGAUGGAUGAGAUUAUUGGAAUUGGAUGGUCUGAAAGGAAGGACGGUAAGCGAGAAAUCCUGAAUUUGUACCCUUCCAUUGACACCCAAAACAAUGUGAAAAAGGUGCAUAGUAAGAAGAGUGGACCCCUAUUUGAUCCACUAUAAAAUUCCAAUAUUAUGAUCCACGACGAAUUAUGCAAGUUUCAACCAUAGCGGAUCACUCCAAAUUCCAUCAACUUCAAUUAGGUACAUCAUGUAAAAUUAUUAAUUUACUAAAUUGGGGUUCUCCAAUCAUCAAAGUCGAUAUCUCUUUGCUGUAUGACCUGUUUGGAGGAUUUGGAAUAUUUUGAUAAAUUUAGAAUGCAAAGUAUUCAAAAUAAAGGAGUUUAAAGGAUAAAAACGUAAAGGGUGCAGAAUAGAACGAGUCCAUAUUAUUUUUAUUUUUUUUUUUGGGUUCACAUACAAGUCCAUUUGAUUCCACAUUAUUUGAUCAAUUUAUUUUGUAGGGGAAAAUCUAAAAGGCUCUCUUUUAGGUUGGAGUCAACAAAUAUUAAUUGCUCACAAAUGGGGAGUCAGCUGCCACAGCGGUCGUGGUACGUACUUCCCCUUGCAUUUUGUACGGAAAUCUAAAUAAUGAUCAACCUCAAUAUUUUUAUGCAAUUUGCAAUUAGAAAUGGGCAAGAACCAACAUGUUUACUCGAUUUUUGGUGAGCCCAGAAGAUUGACAUUCUAUUGCUUAGCACAACUUGCCUAUCUCAGCUUUAACAAUUGUUACUAGAAGCGAAUAAAAGGUAGCUACACAACUACCUCUUUCAAGAAAAAAAAAAAUAUUUCUAGUGAAGACAGGAAAGAGAAGUAUUGGGAGACAUGGUGAAUAAGCAUUGAUACCUUGAUAUAAUUCAAGCUAGCUUCCGACGGUGUUAAUUGUUUUAAAGCCUUCAGUCUGUGUUUUGGCUAAGCAGCUAAACAGAUCAAAUUUUGCAUAUUUUCAGGGCUACAAAAUGUGUAAUAGAAAUAAUUGUGAAAAAAAACAAUUGAACUUUAAUACCGGAUAAAAUCACUUUUUCGAAUCUGGCUCACAAGUUUCCCCAUAUAUGUCUGUAAUCUAGAGCUCCAUUCAAAAUGUUAUUUGAGUUUUGAUAAUACUCCAAAAUCAAUUCAAGUUCGCUGAUUUGAAGUAGCUAGUUGAGGCUUUUUUUUUUUUUUUCUUUCUUUCUUUUGGGAGCAAAUGAAGAACUUUUAUUGAUGAGCAGUAAAAGCUUGUUAAAGCAAGAGGCAUUGUUUUGCUAUAACCCUACUUCUAACUGGAGAAAUCUACUACAGGUCCGAAAAUGAUUUUAGUCCAAUCUAUAUGUAGCUAGUUGAGGCUUUAUAUUUUGUUAUCCAAUAUGAUUUUAGUCCUUCUUGUGGGUAUGAGUUAAGGCGUGGUUCGUGUAUUAUGUCCAAGGUGAGUCAUCAAGUCAGCAACCGUUAGAAACAAUUUGUAGACACAAUAUAUGUACUAACACAAUAGAUAUAGAUAUUUAAAUAUCAAUUAUGGACACUAAAAAAAAACACAGUUUUUAAUGCAAACACUAUAUUAAUAUUUGCACGUUGUUGUCUAAGUGUCGAUAUUUGAUAAUUUGAUAUGUACAAUACGAUCGUUCUUGUAAUUCUUUUUUCUUGUAGUUGAGAACAGAACUGAAAGCUAUAUUACGUUCAGGCGACUUUGUAAAGCAAAUGGAUUAACUGCUCUCAAGGCCUUCAAAGUUUCUUUAACCUUAAAAGAACCUGAACAACAAGCAGUCCAGAUGGUUUGGUGGUCUCCAUUUUCAGGAUAUAUAAGGUACAAAUUAAGAGGUUAGCAGUAGCAAGCUGCUGCUUGAGCAUUCUGAACUGAUCAGCUAACAAUUCACAAGCCUCGAGAAGUCGUGGUUAAAGUUCUUGCAAGAUUUUGUCGUUCAGUUUACUGAGGUUUGUCUGCCUGAUGUGGAAAACGGAAUCUUGGGUUUGAGACCUAAUUCCAUACCAUCGAUUAAAUCUGCCAAGAAACCAUUUAGAACUCUUAUGUGUUGUCCGUGUAGUUAUGAUAAAAAGGCUUAAUUUUUAGUAUUUACAUUCAUUCUUUUAUUUCUUUGUAACUUUCUGCAGGUGUAGAGGAAGCUCAACGGGUGCUGGCAAGAGAAGGAGCAUGGCACCGUUGCCAUGCUAGUCAAUACUGGUUGCCUUUCGCUAGGCUGAAUCCUAAGGGGUCUCAAACCACAUCCCUAUCCUGAUUCACUUUGGACAGCUGCGUGAAAUUUUUAGCAGUUUUGUGUUCUAUUUGUUUGCCUUUUCCUUACAUAUUUCAACUGGCUCAAAUAGGCCUAAUUAAAGGUUAUUGUAAUCAUGGUUCAAAGUCGUGGCGACGGUCGCUGUCGUGGAUCGGACUGUUACACAGCGGUCUCGAUAUAUCGAUUGCGGUCUCAGCGAGACGUAAAUUUUUUAAAUAUUUAAUAUUCUAAAAAUUGUAAAAAAAAAUAUGAUAAACAAAAAUAAUAAAAAAUUAGUAAAAAAUAAUAAAAAUUCGAGUUGAUUCGGGAUAAUUCGGACCGAUUCUGCCAUUUCUAUCCAUCUUGGAGACAUUUUGAUUGAAUUUUCGGUGAUUCAUUAUAUCGGAAUCAUCUCAUCUCAGUUUCUGAUUAGAAAGUCCCGUUUUGAUGACAAUUCAACUGAGUCGUUUUGGUCUCGGCCGAGUGUUUGAACCAUGAUUGUAAUACAUCGUCAUCAAGUCUUAUCAAUUAUUCUAUUGGUUAAGCCCUAUUCUCAUGAAUUAAUGCACUCAAAGGUUUUCUUGAACCUUUUUGAAACACUCUUGAAAGUCAAUCGUGCAUUACUUUCUUUAGGAUUCGAUUCGCUGUCGCUAAUUAUUUAAGUUGAGUUGGUAAGGACAUCUACUGAUCAAGUUUAAAUACCACAAUCGCCAUUCGUAUUACUAUUAAGUAAAAUUUAUUAAAUUAUUUAUCAAACUAAAUGUAUAAGAGAAGAAUAUUCACUGAAGUUAUUUAUUCUUCUUGGAUUAGAAGAAGACUUUAAAAAGUGACCACACGGGCAUACCUGACUUUAUAUGAUAACACAACUAAAAAAGGACUCCAAAACCCGGUCUUAGUAGAACUAGUACAGCUUCAUGCCAGAAUCCUUGUCACCCCAAGGUGGCUUUUAUGCAAGAAAGGGAGAAAAAACUAAACAAAACGGAAAAUUAAAAGACAGAGCCUGAAAUCUAUAAAUGGUGCCUGAAAUGUAAUCACAUCCAGAUAGCGUUGGCUUCGAUAAGCAAUGGCUUCAACUUGCCCUUAACAUUGAGGCUCAUAACCUCAUUGGAACCACCAACAAAAAUCUUACCUAUGAAAACAGCAGGAACACUAGGAUUGCAUCCUAAUGUUAGCAAUGCAUUCUCAACUUCUCUUCCUUUUGGAAGGUGAUCAAGCUCAUAAACCGUAGGGUUCGCCCCAAAGCUGCUUAUCAGAAUCUUGAUAGCAUGGGAAAUGCAGCAGUUGCUCUUGCUGAAGAUCACCACUGGCUUUUCUGACCCCAAUCUCCUCACUGUUUCCAUUCUACUUUCUAUAAAACUUGCUUGUCAAGAAGUUAAAAAGUUCGAACUACUACUUGAGUUGAUAGGAAGUUUAUGACUUGGUUUGAGAAAAUUUCUGAAUUGUACAAAGGUAUAUAUAGAGGGCUAAGGAUGAUGGAUUGUAAUACUUCUGUUCAAAUAGGAAAAGUAGGAAAUGUGUCUGAUCUUGCUUCUAAAGUUGAUGCUUCAGAAAUAUCAGCAGCUAUUCGAACAGGGUAAAGGUUCAAUCUGUCUUAGGUAACAUAUAGAAUCUUAAGUUGCGUUAGCAUGCUGACAACAUAAAAAUUGGAAAAGUAGUAGUGGAUGAUUUCUUCUUUUACUAGAAAGAUUCUAAGGCCUGGAAGGUUUACUAUGGAUCACGAAUUCAGUUAGAUUUGUCAAUAUCAAAGAAAUUCUUAUAGUACGAUCCCUUGAAGUUUCCAAAGAAAUUCUUACAUCGAAUCAAUUGACGAUACAAUGAAUAAUAAGACAGCCUUCUUUUUUUCUUUUUUUUUUUGAAAAAAGUAGUGAUUAAUAGUAACUUAUAGUUCAAAAUUAGUAGGUAAAUGCACCCCUUGAUAUGCGCAGCUGUCUAUGGUUUCAGCAAGUUAAAACAGAAAUAUAUAGACUAUUACACUUGCAUUGUGAGAGUAUUAAUUGCAAAAAGAAAUUUUAUGACAACCCUUGCAUCAUUUUAUGAGACAUUUAUAAGAUAUUGUUAUUUUAUUUUUUGUACUUAUGAGAGUGUGAACAAAGUAAGUUAAUCAAAAUUGGGGAGUUGUUAUAAAUUCCUCUCUCUGUUUUGGUUUGGGAUAAGUUUGUACAGAUGUUAAUUAUAAUUUCAAGUGAAUUAAGCCAUGGAGGUGUUUGAUUGUAUUUUUGAAUCGGAUUCAAAAUUGCAAUAGGAAUCACAAUCAUAAACCCCACUAUUGGUACAGGUUUUCAUCACUUUCUAUUUUAUAUAUAUAUAUAUAUAUAUAUAUAUAUAUAUAUUGUUUUUGAACCGAAAUGGGGAUCAUUCUUUUUUUUUUUUUUUAAAUCAGAACUUUUUUAUUUUAUUAAUGGAAGAGAUAUACACAAUAUUUUCUUACAGACGUCUAAAAAUGGGGAUCAUUCUAUUAAUGAGUUGAUUACUUUGAAAUCUAAUUGGUAAUCAGUGAGGAAUGAUUUUUAUAACAUUCAUAUUUUCAAUGAAUGAUUUUUAUUGUGGUCUAUCAAACAAUAGAUAUAAUUGAACAAAACAAAACGUUGGACUUCCCCAGGUGAACAGAAUAUAAUUCCUUUGACUGUUUAAGGACAAUAGUUUUAAUUGUUUGAGGCUGUUAGGUUCAUGAGUAAAUGAUUAUGUCUCACAUUUAUCCGAGAAAUAGAGAAAGAACAGUUAAUAUAUAAGUAAGGACCCAAAACCUAAUGAUUUAAGUUUUUGGAUCAGAGUUGAAUUCCUGACUUACAUAUUGGUCUCUUUGGUGAACUUUCUCGAGGUGUUCCCCCUAUCAAAUUAGUAUCAGAGUUUCAGGUUGCGAGUUACUCGUGGGCAAGUGAAUCUUUUUUGGAAUUGGAUCAGUGAAAAUUCGCUUUUUGGUGGUGGACUGAAGUGCCAAGAAGUUUGAUUGGUAUUAAACCAGGUGCGAUAUGAGUUUGGCAGGGGUCCGGUUGGUGUUAGACCAAGGAGUCAAAGGUUGGCAAGGGUCUAGAAUGCAGUUUGGAUGUUAAAGAAAAGUGGAUCCAUAUUUGGGAGAAGAUGUGACCUUAGGUGAUAAAGUGAACUUGUAUUGAGUAUUAAAAUGGGUUCGAAAAAGGGUUUGUAAAUUUGGAUUUAAUGUAAGAGGUUACUCGUGAAGAUAAAGAUUUAUUAGAUUCAUGAGAAAAGGAUUUAUGUCCUAGAUUGGUCCGAAAGAUAAAGAAAGAACAGUUAAUAUAUAAGUAAGGAUUCAAAACCUAAUGACUUAACUUUUUGGAUCAAAAUUGAGUUCCUGACUUAUAUAUUGGUCUAUUUGAUGGACUCUCUCUAGGUGUUCUUCCCUGUCGGAAACCAAUAGUACGUAUGAUUUUGUUUUCUUUCCAAAUAUUUUAGACCAUGUAUAUUACAAAGAAAAGGGACUUCUGUUUUUCAUUUUGUUUUUCCUUUUAGGUAAUAAAGAUAAAGAGGAAGUCGUUGCUUAUCAAAGUUGACUGACGACUUCAACUAACAAAAGUAAAACCGAACCAUUCCCCUCCUAAAAAGCCACGCGGGUCCCUCUAACAUUUUGCUUUUGCAAUUGAAGGAUUCUUCACCACCAACCCAAUUUGAAAACAGCAUAAAUAUGUAGACCAAGCCAGGUUGGUCAUGGUCUAAAAAACCAGUACAAAAGCGACAAGAAGCUACCAAGAAGAGUAGUAGCAGAUUCUCCAUUUCUGAGCAACAUUUUUCUCUUAACACAAAAAUGAUGCCUUUCUCCACAUGAUAUAAAUAGGUAGAAUAAUAAUGUCGAAGAUUCAAUAGUAUUAUCAAUCCAUUAGAUAUUUGAUGAACCCGAGGGUUGGUUAAUUCCCGUUUCUUUUAAAGGCAAAAUGCAUUUUUUGUCCACAAAAUUUACAGGAAUUGGUCCUCAGGGUUUCAACUAAUUAAAACAAAUGUAGUCCCUAAAGCAUAUUAAGUCAUUAUGUUGGUCCUUAAUGAUUUAUAAAAUAUACAAAAUUCUAUUCAUAUAAAAUAAAAAUAUACACGAAUUCUAUAAUUAUUGUGGAAAAUUACAAAAAUAUAAUGAUUUAAAAAACUCUAUGAAAUAAGCGUAAGGCAACCCAAGAAAUUCAAUUAAUAUUAAAAUAAAUCAUGUGUUGUGAAUGAGCUAUACUUAUUUGUUUUGUGUGCUUUUCUAACAAACAAAUUAAGCAUUAUAAUUUGUACUUGGCCUACUUUUAUGUACAAAUAACAAUUUAGCAUAUCUACCAGCUGUCAUCAUUUGGUAAAAAGUAAAUAUGUUAUAGUUAUUUUUCUAGUGUUUUAAUUUCUAAAAAAAGUUUUAUAAUUUUUCUAGAAUUUUUGUGUAUUUUUCAUAUUAUGCUAGUAAAUUUACUUAAAUUUGACAAAAGCAUUGGGAACUAAUUUGGGCAACAACAUACUUUAGGGACUACAUUUAUUUAGAUCAAAAUAAUGAGGAAUAAUUUGGUAAAAAUUGAAAUUUUACGGAUUAUUUUUAGUAUAAUUGAAAUAAUGAGGACCAAAUUGGUCUUAUCUCGAAACUUUGAAGACUAAAAGUGAAUUUUUUUUUCUUCUUAUAUAAAUAACAUUUAAAUUAGAUUUAGAGGAUAAGCGGAUGACAUAACAAGUGUAAGCGAUACCAAUUUUAUUAACCCCAGUUUAGUUUCUUAGACAAUUCCAAAAUCAGAACCGGUAUGCUUUGGGUUUGUUGACAAGGAGUUUCGUCCAUUUAUAAGGGGAAACUCUGCCAAAAUUUUUAAUAAAAAAAAUAAAUAAAUAAAAAAGAACCGGUAUGCUUUGCAAAGACUGCAUUUUUUGUCAAUUAAGCCAAUACAUCCUCCUAUGAGCUAAGCAACUAAUUAGUUUCAUCCUUUUGUAAUUGAUCUCCAAUUUAUGUUUAGACUAACUAAUUUGAAGAAAAAUAAAUGAAAAUGUGGCAAGCACUUUUGUUGCAUUUGAAGCUCACCUUCGUAGAAAUAUAUAUAGCUUCAGCUUAAGUAAGCCGGUCACUCCACUCUUUCUUUUCAAAAAAAUAUAAAAAAAAAAAAGUUUAGCCAUUUAUCUACCAAGUAUAUAUAUAUAUAUAUAUAUAUAUAUAUAUAUAUAUAUAUAUAUAUAUAUAUAUAUAUAUAUAUAUAUAACAUAAGAUAAUUAACCAAAGUUAUUUCUUCUCAUUAUGUUGGAAAGCUGUAAAAGUACAUAGACACUGACAUAGAUCAAAAUUGACUCUUGAGAACUAACAGAGACUCAAAAUUGAUCAAAACUUUGUCUUAGUACAAUUGUUAAGACUUCAUGCCAAAACCCUUGUCACCUCAAAGUGACCUUCAUGCAGAAGAGGGAGGAAAAACAAAGCUAAACGGGUAAAAAAAAAAAAAAAAGCACACUCACACGAAACCUAUGGAUGGUGCCUUAAAUGGAAUCACAUCCAUAUAGCGUUGGCCUCGAUAAGCAGUGGCUUCAACUUGCCACGAACAUUGAGGCUCAUAACCUCAUUGGAGCCACCAACAAAUAGCUUCCCUAUGAAUACAGCAGGAACACUUGGAUUACAUCCUAAUGUUAGCAAUGCAUUCUCAAUUUCCCUUCCUUUGGGGUGAUGAUCAAGCUCAUAAACCGUAGGAUUCGCCCCGAAGCUGCUUAUCAGCACCUUGAUAGCAUAGGAAAUGCAGCAGUUGCUCUUGCUGAAGAUCACCACUGGUUUUUCUGAUCCCAACCUCCUCACUGUUUCCAUUCUACUUUUGGUAAAAUUCGCAAGGUCAAGAACUUGAAAUUUUUUGAGCUACCGCUUGAGUUGAGAGGAAUUGUAUGGCUUGGUUUGAGAAAAAUCUUGAGUUCCAUAAAGGUAUAUAUAGAGGGCUAAGGAUGAUGGAUUGCAGUAGUUUUCUUCAAAUCGGAAAAGUUGGUAAUCCAGAAGAUUUUGAUUCUAAAGUAGAUGCUUUAGAUAUUAUCAGCAGCUAUAGAAAUAGGAUUGAGGCUUGAUCCGUCUUAAGUUGCCCUUUCAUGCUGACAACAUUGAAAACGGAAAGCAGCGGUAGAUGAUAAAAGUUUUCUUCGUAAUUUUACUAGAAAGAUUCUGAGGCCAGGAAGGUGUACUAUGGGUUAUGAAUUCAGUUAACCAUGCGUUUAUGCAAAUGUUCAUUAGAAACUCAAGUGAGUAAAACUAUAUCUGCAGAAAUUGGACAAGAAAAAUUCAAAAAAAAAAAAAAAGAAAAGAAAAGAGAAAGCAAAACAGUGGACUUCUCCGAGUGAAAAGCAUAUAAUUCCUUUGACUGUUUACGGUGAAUAGUACGUGUAACCAUGUUCCAAUCUUUCCUUUUUCUAAGUAGAUAAAUUUCAUAUUGCAAAAUAUCUUAGGCAACUUAUUGCAAAGAAAAAGGUUUUCUAUCCCUUUAGUUUAGGGAUAAAGGUAGGAGUAAGUCGUUGUUAUCAAAGUUGAUUGACGUGCAGAGUGUUUUUUUUUUUUUUUUUUUUCACAGAUCAAAUUUGAUCUUAUUUAGACUAUUUAUUUUAAAAGACAUUUAUUUUAAGAUGAUUGAUUCAGAUUGAACAAAUGUGGUCCAAUCAAGACUCUGAUCGAAUCAAGCUAGUAUGACCCGCAUCUUUCAACUAAUUAAAUUAUCGACCACCCAAGUGCCUUCAAUUAUUUUGCUUUUGAAACGAAAGGAUUUUCUGCCACCUAUCCAAUGAGGAAACUGAAAUGAAAGAUAUGCACUAAACCAUAAAUGGUCAUGGUCUAGAGGGCCGUUACAAAAGCAAGAAGAAGAUACAAAGAAGGGCUUUAGUCGAUAAUAUUCUCCAUUUCUGAGCAAAAUUUUUCUCUAACACAAAGAUGAUGCCUUUCUAGACUUUUACCACAUGAUAAAUAGAUCGAAGAAUAGUUUUCAAGAUUCGACCAUAUUAUCUUCCCUAUCUCACCAAAUGUUCCAUCAAAAAGAUGUUUAAUGAUUCCAAAGGGUCGGUUUUUAUGCUUUGCACUUUUUAGAAAGAAAAUUCAUUAAAGGACUAACUAGAUGACCCAUAAGAAGGGUAACACUUACCAAUUUAGUUAAACGUUGCCUCGAUUCUUUUCUUCUUCCAUGCAAAAUUUGAAAAUCAGAACUAUGUUAUAUAUAUAUAAAUAUAUAUAUAUUGAAAAACUGCAGGAGCAAAGAUUACUGUUUUUUUCGCAAGUGUUAUGUUGUUCAUAAGGAAAUACUUUAGCAAAGAAACCUUACAAGUGCAAUGUAACCAAAGCCACACUAGGUCUACUAUGUUUCUUCUUUAUGGCUUUUAUGAAUGCCCUUAAGGAAAAGAAGAAAAAAACACAAAAAAAAACACUUACUAUUAGCAAAAAGCAGACAUCCUGAUUAGCAAACAGAUGUGUCACACAAAUUAAACCUAAAUGAGACCAACUUUCAAGUAAAUAUCACCAAAAGAUAUACUAUUUGCAGUUGUCCUCAAAACACAAUUCAACUGAUAGGGACGUAAAUCAGAACGUCAAUCAUGCGACAGUGAAAUGUUUUAUUUCGUUUCUCCUUGUAAGGUUUAGAACAUACCCAAGCCAGAUAUGCUUAGCUAAAAUCAGUAGCUUUCACUUUCUCCUGGCUGAUCAUCCAUAUUCCGCCAUGAUAAUCCAUCACCUCUUGCGCUGAGAGAAACCAAUGUUUCCUGAUACACAAUGGCUCUUAGGGUAAGUUCAGUCCCAAAAAUGUCAUAUUUCAUGAUUGCUUGGCUGUUAUCACGCAGAGAGCGAGAAAUCAAACAUCCAUCCUCACCAACCCUUUGCAGCAAAAGCAGCUUAUCAUCAUUCCAAGAGGAUAAUGGUAAAUUAAGUCCAGCCAUGGGGGUUUGUAAGGAAAAUUUCUUGAUCCAAGACUCUUUGACGCCAUACUCCAUCAUCACCCAUAUAUCCAUGGUUUCCUCAUACAAGAGUGAGGAAAAUGGCAGGUAAGGGAAUUUGAUCGAGAUAGCAGCAAGAUCCCCAUCCAAGACGAAAACAUCCGGUCUUACAUGCGGCUGUCGCGCAUCAGAGGGAUAUUCUAUCUUUCUAAAAACCUCAGUGCACAUGUUGAAAGAAAGGAUAUUUCUCAUGACCGACCCCGACUCAGGGUCGAUGUCAGAUGCAUCCCAGUGAAAGCAUCCAUUGACUGUGGCAGGGAAACAUGGGGGAUAAAUGUUCACUACUUGUGGAAGGAUAAGAUCAACCUUUCUCCAAGAAUUUGUACAGAGCUUGUAUAUUUGAACUCCCAUCACCAUCCCCAAAUAAGAAUAAUUACUUCUUGAUUUUGGAUAAAGUUUAUAUAGCUUGACUACCUUGUAAUCUUGGGUGGAUGGAUCAAAGCCAAACCCUAAAGCAUGUGGACUGACCGAUUUGAACCCUUUUGGUGGAUCAAAGCGGAGGCUUGGAGGAAGUGUCAGGAAUUGGCGUGUUGCAGGAUUACACAGAUGAAUUUCGGAGAGAUCCGAGAAGCAAACGAUGCCAUUGCACGCUCCAUAUAUGUCGAAUGAGUAACGAUUCCACGAAGGUAGCUCUAUAUUAGGGGCAACACUGCGGAGAGAUUCAUGUUCAUCGUGAGAAUGGAAUGAUAACAGGGUUUUGAAUUCGUUCUUGAUGAACCGCUUGACGAGGACGACUUUGCGAUUCUUGCUGUGUAAGUAUUUCAGAUGCUUGUCUUCAAAAUAAGGGCUGUUGAUCAAAGCGAACCAUGUAUUAGAGACGCAGCAGAAUCUCAACAAUGUCUUGACGGGCAGUUUCACGAGGAUUUCUGCCAGGGCAUCCUCCGGCAACGAAUUCGCCAUAGUAGAAUAAAAUUCAGGAGUGGAAUCGAUGAAUGGAUUUUGGGAUUUUGUAGAGAAUCCACUAAUUAAUAUGAUGGUCCUUGUCCAAGUUCAUGGGCGAUUUCAAGCGUCCAAAACAGAGAGAGAGAGAGAGAGAGAGAGAGAGAGAGAGAGAGAGAGAGAAGGGUUUCAAAGCCGAUGAGUUGGGCUUUAGGGUUUAGCUCCGAUUAUUGCUUGAGAGGGAAAAAAUUUUUGGGUUCUGAGACGAAAUAUGACAAGUACAACGACGUUUCUAGCUCCAAAUCCAAGUUUAUGAGGAUUAAACAGAAAUUGAUGAGAAGAGAAUGAUUCAACUCCGCACUUAAACCUAAUUUUCUCAAGUAUGAGUUGUCAACUCGUUACUUUGCCAGCCAGCAGAUAUCAUACGGAACAUUACACGUAAUUUUUUCUUUUCAAGAUGGUAAAAGUUCAUCAUAUAAAUACUAGUCGGUCAAAAUUACACAUACGAAUUUAGUGAAAUUAAGCAUAUAAAUUUAAGCGUAAAUGAUACAAAUAUAUAUAUAUAUAUAUAUAUAUAUAUAUAUAUAUAUAAAUGAUGAAACUAAAAGUACGGAAAAGAUUAUUACAAUUCUCGGAGACUAUGCAGUAUUAGGACCAAUACGAGCUCUUAUCCUUCAUUAUGAGAUAUUAAAAUUAUUAUAAUUUCAUCACCUUUUUAUUUUUAUACCUAUAAAAUUUAUGAUUUAAGAAGUUGCUAGAUUGUAUAUAACUCGGAAGGUAUGCUAUUAUCUCUAUACAAAUUUUAAAACUUUUUAAAAAUUGAAGUAUAAUUUGUGAAAUAUAAUACACCAAAAGUUUAUUACAUGUUUUAUAUAGAUUAGUUGAAAAGUAUGAGUAUUAUUCAGAAUAACUUUUAAAUGAAAAAAAAAAUUUUGAUUAUACAGAUUAACAGGUAUAAUACGAGUUCUUAAUAACUAGGUUUUCAAAUUACUACAACCAAUCUAGCAAGACUAUUCACAGCUAUCAAGCAAAUCAAAAGUCGAUCCUGAGAGAACAAAAUUAACUAUUAACUCAUUUCAUUUCCAAUUGAUCAGUUAAAAUUAAAAAGCUUAAAUCACAUCCUUCAAAGCAAAACUACCAGGGAAGAUAAUUAAGUAAGCUUAUCUCUUAUCCCUUCCCACUUAAAAUAAAAACCUCAAACGUACAAACAAGAUGUUAAUAGGACAAUUGGGCAUUAAAUACCAUCAUUGACUAUAACCUUAUUAGUGCAUCAAAAUCAGAACGGUACAUUUGAUAUUACAAUGACUAAAAGUCACUCAAAACUCAAUAAAACUUACACUUAAUAAAAAUGGUAGGAGCCCAUGCUAAAGCCCUACCUGAAUUUGGGUUGCUUAAUUUGCUCAAAAGGAAAAGACAACAAUUAAAAUAGCAAAACCAAAUCCUUUGGGUGCUUAACUAUAUUCUGGUUAUUACAUCCAUAUAGCCUUUGCCUCGACAAGCAAUGGCUUCAGCUUGCCUUGAAUAUUGAGGCUCAUAACCUCAUCAGAACCACCAACAAAAAGCUUCCCUAUGAAAACAGCAGGAACACUUUGAUGGCAUCCUAAUGCUAGCAAUGCAUUCUCAAUUUCCCUUCCUUUAGGAUGUUGAUCAAGCUCAUAAACAGUAGGGUUCGCGCCAAAGCUGCAUAACAACAUCCUAAUAUAUAGCAUGUGAAAUGCAGCAAUUGCUCUUGCUGAAGAUCACCACUGGCUUUUCUGACCCCAAUCUAGCUCCUCACUGCUUCCAUCCUACUUUUGACACAAAAAAAAAAAAAAAAAAAAAAAAGUCUAGUCAAGAACUUCAGAAUAUGCACUAGUGUUGAGUUGAGAAUUGAGAGGAAGUUUGAGGCUUGGUUUGAAAAAAACCUGAAUUGCAUGAGGUAUAUAUAUAGAGGCCUAGAGCCUUGGAAUUGCAUAUAUAUAGUUUUCUUCAAGUAGGAAUCCUUAGAAAGCUGUAAGAAUUUGCUUCUAGAGUUGGUGUUUGGAUUGUAAUCUAUACUAUAGUACCUUAAUGUGUCUCACAGAGAAUAGAAUCUCAAGUUGCAUAAACAUUUUGAGGUUUGCAUCUUAUGACGGAAAGUGAAAGAAUUAAUAGAUGAUAACAGUCUCCUUCCUUUACUAGAAGAUUAUGAUGGCAAAAGGAUACAAGGCUCGUGGAUUCCCUUAGAUUGUCAAAAUCAAAGAAAUUCUUGCUUUGCUGUUAUUUUGAAGUUUCAAAAGUAGAUAGCUUGUAUAGCGCCACCAAAUUUAGGGCUUCUUUAUUGCAAAAAUUGACUAUGACAAGUGAUCAUAAAGAAAAAUCAAAAUCAGUCAAAACCACUUUCAGGGAGAUUCUAAAUUUCAAUCCUUUUGGUUAUUAAAAAUGUUAAAUUAUAAAUACAAAAGCAAAUGAGAAAAUCAACCAAACAGACUGUCUAAAAUAUCAGAACCUAAAAUCACUGGAUGAAAUAAUCAAAUGACAACAAAUAUUAGCUUUUUGUACUAAAGGCCUCAGAUCAGCAGGUACAGUCAAAAUAUGGACAAUUAUGCUAUGACUUUGCACGUGUAAUUUGUACAGCAUAUAUAGGCAUGCCCUAAAAUGACUUUAAUUCUGAAAUCAAAUUAAUAAGAAACUGCAAAAUAUUACAAAAUUUUGAGUCAUGAAUUCCAAAUAACUGAAAAAGAAGAAUGAACAGAAUCUUCAAGCAAGUGAAGAUAAAUGCAUCCAUUUUAAUUAAAAGACAUUGCCUUCUUCUUGACCGCUGGUCAUGAUAUGUACCAGACCUUGCUUCAACUUAACAUUAAUUAGACUUCUCCAGAUGAACAGAACCAAAUCCUUUGACCGUGUAGAGAGAAUCCAUGUAAAUCAUAUCCUUUUGGGCUUGCUAAGUAUGACUACUUUGCCUUUUAUUUCUUUUAAGCAGAUGAACUAUACAUUGUAUUGCAUCUAAGACCACUGAUAAAAAAGGGAGAAAUAAAUUGUUCAGCAAAAGUUGAUUCCCUUUGGUUUUUUCUUUUGGAAGAAAGGGAUUCUUGGCCACCCACCCAAUUGACGGUACAGCAUAGCAUCAUAACAUGGACUAAACCACAAUGGUAUGGUUCGGAAAUCCGUACAAAGGCAGAAAAAAGUGCCAAGAAGGGGUAGUAAUAGCAGAUUCCCCCCUUGUGAGAGAUAUAUUUCGAGUCUAAGCCAAAAGAGAUGCACUUUCUAGAUUUUCUCCACAUGAUAAAUCCAUCAAAUAAUGUCUACAUCCUUUACGUUUUCAUCCUCGGAACUAUUCUGUUUUAAACACUUCAUACUGAAAAAUUAUCCAAAAUAGUUGUUAAUUUUAUCCAUAAAAGUGAGCAAGAACGUAUAUGCUUUCACUAAAUUUUGUGUGGGUUUCAUGGAUUUUGAUGUCAAUUUUCAGGACAUCGUCCAUAUAGUUUCAUUAUACAUAUUUUGAGAUAAAUAUGAAGCGUUCAAAAUAAAGAUUGGAAGUGUAAAGUGACACUAAAUGGUUAUCAAAAAUACUGCCAAGAUGUCAGGAAUGAAAAACGUUUAAGUGUAAAAUGUGCAAUCUUCUAAAACAUAAUAGAUUUAAAAGUGAAAUUCAUUAGUUUCUUUACUUCUAUAUUCACCAACAGGUUGUUGACUAGCCACCCAAGAGAAUAAAAGGUAGUUGUCUGCCCUACGGGGUAGUCUAGUGGUAAGCGAACUCUUAAGAACUCAUUUGAUUCUGGGUUCGAAUCUUACCCUGAUCUUAAACUCCCGUGACUCGCCCGGAUGCGUUGCGUGAAGCCAUGGAGUACUCCUCCGGUCUGAUGUGUCGGUUCGGAUCCUAAGUGAUUCAAGUCGAGGCAUGUUCCGAAUUACCAAAAAAAAAAAAAAGUAGUUGCCUACCUCUUUCCAAACCAAAAAAAAAAAAGAAAAAUAGCCAGUUAAGAUAUGAGAGAGAAGUAUUGGGAGACAUAGGGAAUGAAGGCUAGAUACCGCUAUAUCCUCCAAGCUGCUUGUAAAGGUGCUAAUUAAUUACUUCUUGAAGAUGAAAAAUCACGUCUUCAGUUAGUCUUUAUUCUUGUAAGCAGCCAUAAAAAUCAAAUCAAAGCCGACCAUAAUGCUAUAAACUUGACCAGUAUGAUGUAUAAUAUUUGCAUAAUAAGCAACUUGUAAAGGUGUUAAUUCAUUAGUUCUCAAAGAUGAAAAAUCACGCCUUUAGUCCCUAUUCUUACUAAGCAGCGCGCUGUAAAGAUCAAAUUAAACCCGACACUUAAUGCUAUAAAAUUGAACGGUAUGAUGUAUAAUAUUUGCAUGUUUCUCAGUACUACUUAAUAUAUGAUAAAAAUAAAUAUGAAAAAGAAUGUUAUUUAUCUUGAAUAUAGAAUACAAAAAUUUUUGGGAGUCCGACUAACAAGCUUCUAGUAUAUAUCUAACAAUCUACAUUGGAAAAGUUGUUUGACAUACAAUUUUUCUUCGGAGUCAAUAUAAGCUCGUUAAUUCCGUGUUCUAAUCGUGCAAUUAACUAAUUACACUCUCUGAACAGGUUUUUAAGGUUUCGAUUUGUUAGUCGACCCAAUUAAGGUAGACAAGGGAUAUUUGUACGUUAAUACUUUAGCGUCCAUGUUAAUACUUUAGUGUCCACAUUUAGUCUUUUGUGGGUGUAUUUAUUGCGUUACUUCAUAAUGUUUAUGGUCCAAUCUCCACUGAUAAUUUUUUUGGUUGACAAGAGAACUUGCAGCUGCUACUGGAGAGUGCGCAUUAGAUAAACCCUUCCCCGUGCAAUAGCCCGCCAUAUGCAUGAGGUCAUAUGCAUUAUAUUUUCACUCAUUUUUCCAAGAGUAGAAUGAGAAUGAAUAUUAGAAGAAGAUCUUCCACUAAAUUAUUGACUACUCCAUUCUCCAUUGGGGUGAUAGUUCAGUAGUUGAUUGAUGCCGGCUCUAUACCGUAGAAGAAGUCCAAAAUCUAACAUUGAAAUGAAAAAAAAAAAAAUAACCAUCUCAAUCCGAGCUUAUGCCAACAUACUAACUGAGAUACUAAGUUGUAAACAUUAACAUACAGAAACACUUCUGCCUUUUUUUUUCCUGCCAAGUAUUGUCUCACUAUAUAUUGCUUAAAUUACCAAUUAGGUAUAGUUGCCUUCAAUGUAGUAAGUCAACAAUAAGUCAAACUAAUCUGGCAACACAAAAAAAUAAAAUACAAGCUGCAGAUUAAUUUAGUUUAAUAUCCAAUAUCACUACUUUGCCAUUCCACUUGAAACUAAAGAACCUCAUUGAGUUUACUUCUCUAAUAAAGCAAAAAGUAUGAGAGAAAUAAAGUGCCACCUAUAUAUAGGCCACCCCCCCCCCCCCAAAAACAAAAAAAAAGAAAACCCCACAAACAAAAAUUUUGGUUAGAUCACCUUUAGUCACUAAAUUAUUUAAGGAUCUAAUUUUGUGUACGGAACUUCUUUUCUUCUUCGUUGUCUCAGUUGGAUCUUACAAUAGUCAUUGCACGUAAUUGUUGCCAUUUUUCGAGAAAAUGCAAUUACGAAACUAUUUCAGAGUUUGAUUUCACCUAUUAAUUAAAUUUGUCUUCUUUUUCUCUCUUAAUCUUUUUUUUUUUUUUUUUGGUGUCCUUAUACACAUAGAAUUCUUAAUGUACGUGUAUUAGGGAUUUCUAGAAAACUGAAGGAAAUGCAUGCCCAUGAUAUGACAGUAUGCAAGGGACAUCAACUCAGUUAACUUAAGAAAUGACCAAUGAAGGAUGUUUAAGAGUUCAAUGAGUAAACUGACCCAAAAAAUAAGUAAAUAAAUAAGAAGGUCUGCAGGAAAAAGCAAAAUUUUGACAUUGUUUGGUGACAUAUUUUGACUUCCACUUGAUAAACCAUACAAAAACAAAGAUACUGCAAUACAAAAGUAUCUGGCACCCUUAGUACAUCAAAAUCAAAAGGUAGAGACAUAGAAUAUCUAACUCACAGAUUAGAAUACAAAAAAACACCUGUAGGAGUUUAUACUAAUCCAAGAUUCUUAGUGGCUUUCUUCAGAAGGAAAAAAAAAAAAAAAGAACCGAGGCUAAUUCAUUAGAUGUUUCAGCGCAUCUGAUUAAUCUCACAUCCAUAUAGCGUUGGCCUUGAUAAGCAGUGGCUUCAACUUGCCCUGAACAUUGAGGCUCAUAACCUCAUCAGAACCACCAACAAAAAGCUUCCCUAUGAAAACAGCAGGAACACUUGGAUGGCAUCCUAAUGCUAGCAACGCAUUCUCGAUUUCCUGUCCUUUCGGAUGUUGAUCAAGCUCAUAAACCGUAGGAUUCGCCCCGAAGCUGCUUAACAACAUCUUUAUAGCAUGGGAAAUGCAGCAGUUGCUCUUGCUGAAGAUCACCACUGGCUUUUCUGACCCCAAUCUCCUCACUGCUUCCAUCCUAAUAUUGGGAAGUGAUCUUGGGAUUGAAAAUUUGCACUAGUACGUAGUAUUUGAUUUGAGGGGAAUUUUAAGGCUUGCUUUGAGGAAAAUAUUGAAGUGCAUGCAGGUAUAUAUAGAAGGCUACCUGAGAAUGAUUGCAGUAAUUUUCUCAAGGAAAGACUAAAAGGGUUCUAAGAUCUUGUUACAAAAGUUGAUGCCUGGAGCAUAUCAGCAACUAUACGGAAAAAAUUGACAGGUCCUGAGGCUAUGAAUCCUCUGUUACACACUAAUGUAAAAUACCUAUGCUACACCUAUAAAUCCUCUAUUAUACAUUAAAGUAUAAGACUUAUGUUACAUAUUUUGAAUCAUUGAUACGUGUACUUUUCAAGAGUUCAACUUAACUAGAAACAUAAUGAUAAUAAUUCAAAAGGAACAGACGUCAAUACAUCAAAGGGCAUAAAAUGAAUGUUGCAUACUAUGGUGCACCAGAAAACCCGUUUCCAUCUCACGACGCAUAGAAUCUCAACUUGCUUGAAGAUUCUGCAAUGGAAAGUUGUAGUGGAUGAUAACAGUCUUUUGCCUUUACUGAUUCUGAGUGCGGAAUGGUACACGGCCCAUGGUUUCGAUAGACAAGUCAAAAUCAGAAAAAUAUUGAUUAUUCUUUCUCUAAUCAUGUACUGAAUUUUCCACGAUUGACAGGUUUCAUAAUAUGCCCCCUAACUGUCCAAUUUAACAUGUUUUCACAAUUAUUGUACAAAAUUCUAUGAUCCAAAUUUACAAAAUUAAUCCAAAUCCUAGUUACUAUUUCUAUUCCUUUCAGUAUGAUCGGGCAGUGGCAUAUUUUGGCAAGUCAAUAACGAUUAAGAUUAAUCCAGAUCCUAUGUAGUUCAAAAAAAAAUGAAAUGGUAGUUUUUUUUUUUUUAUCUAAUUCAAUAACGAUGAUAAAAUUCAAUAACGAUCAUAUUGUUUGAUCUAAUUUGCAUACUGAUUGGACUUCUCCAAAUGAACAGAACAUGAUACCUUUUGCCUGUGGGCAUCCAAAUGAAUUUGUUAAUGUUGCUGACAAAUGAAUUUGUUAAUUAUUUUCUGUAUUUUAUUUAAAUAGGUUACUUUUACUGAUAUAUCUUGGACCAAUAAUUCCAAAUGAAAAUUGGAUUCAUGUAACGAGAGAAAGAUUUCUCAUUCCGUAGCCGGGAAGAUAUGUAGCUAUUCUACAUCUGAACCAAAUUCUUUAUGAGAUUAUCUUUCUAGCUGCUCUAGAACAAUUAGAAGAUUCUGUAGAAGAAAUAUGAGGUUCUGUAAGGGAUACAAAUAGAAGGAAAUUUAUAAAACAUUCCAAGGAAAAAAUCUGCCACUUAAACUUUACUUCAAACUUAUGAAGUUAAAGAAAUUUGUAGAGAAUAUCAAAACAGUUUUAAGAAAAAAAAAAAAAAAAAAAGAGGUUCCGAGAAAGUAAAAAGAAGAUCUUAAUUUAUACAAGUUACUAAUUUUAAAAAAGAAUCAAUUUGAUUGAGCAAAAGAAGUAUUUUUCUCUGUUUGGAUCAGUUAUUUUUGGGGUGUUUUUGAAAUAUUUUACUGUAGUAAUAUAGGUGAAAAACUUUUACUGUAACUAUUUUUGGAAGUAUUUUUUAAAUAUUUUACUGUAGAUGUAUUAUUCUAACAUUGUAUUUGAAAAAUUUAUUUUUCAAAAAAUGACCAAUACAAACGCAGAGGUUAUUUUUUGAUCCAGAUGACGACUGACCCCUCAAUAAAAAGAGGAGCCUCUCACCACCCAAAAGAAUUAUAUCAUAAUCUAAACAAGACUUUUGACUAAAUCAAAUAACAGGCAUGUUACAUGGAUCCGUACAAAAGGGAGGAGAAGGAACCAAGAAGUGCUCAAGCAGAUUCUCCAUUUCUGAGCAAAGGCCAAGAGAGAUGCCUUUCUUGAUUUUCUCCACAUGAUGAAUGGACUAAGUGAUGUGGAUGAUUCAAUCAUGCAUAUUUAUCCAUCAAAUAUUCCUUGGAAAAAAGAUGGCAUGCACUUAAUGACGCUAAGGGUCGGUUUGGUAUCCUCUUUUUGUAGUAAUUUAAUUUAAUUAAUGGGCUAGUAAUUCUCUUUCUAAUAAAAUUCUGACUACUAGAAGAGAAUCAUAUGUAGCUGCGUACUUCCUUCAUCAAAAAGCAAAGAACAUGAUUUAGGACACAGUUACAUCUUUAAGUUGAUGUUUUUUUUUUAUCUUAAAUUAAUGUUGUACACACCGAAAACGUAAUAAAUUGUUUAUAUCAUGUAGGUGUAGUGAUACGAACCUGACUCUCCAAACUCCCGCUUUUCAAAGAGACAAUUUGACUAGGCAGUGAAAAGAUCUAUCUUGAUCAAGUUAUGGAUAAUAUUGGGAUGGAAAAUAGGGUAGGCCGGUCACAAUUUAGGUGAAUACCAAACUGAUAUGACACUCAAAAAUCCUCACUUGAGAUGAACCAAAAUUUGAAAGACAAGAGUUUCCACUUAAACUCGAAGAAAGAACGAAAUUUCAAGCUUCAUUCAUUUGAAUCGACCGUCUAUUACAAUGAUGUUUAAAACCUUAUAUAGACAAAACCCUAACCUAAACCGAAAUCCAAAUCGAACUUGGACUGAUUUCACUUAUUUAAUAACUAAACUAUUAGAUUCAACUAAGCCCAUUAAGUUCAAAACUUAACACAAGAUUGGCCAUUUUAUUGACUAAAUACAUCUAACCAAAUUACUCAAUAAAAAAAUCAAACAAUAAUUAAUUAAAACAAACAAAAUCGGAAAAAUCUCAAAAAGAAAUUAAUGACACAAAAAUCGCAGACGGAUUGCACAUAAAUUCCACUGGCUAAGUGGACCGGUUUGUGGGCAGUAAUUUAAUCUUCUUUCUCGAGCUAAGUCAACGUCUUCCAAGUUUCUUGCUUGAACCUCCUUGCGUUCGAAUUAAAUACGUGGAAGUUUGAAAAGGUUUCUUAAUCCGUCCUGCACAAGCUUUAAUGUCCAUAUCAUGUAGACUAUAUAUAUGUUUAUGUGAGUUUUUCUAAUGAGUGUCUAUUAAACAUUUGUUAACAUAGCUAAACGCCAACUAACCUAUCAUGCAUAUAAACAUACUAACAAUUAUCAUCACUUUUCUUUACCUUUAUAUACUUUCCCUAAUUAAUCUUACCUUUCCAAAGAUCUAACACCUAAAAUACGUCUUCACCAUUGUUCAUUGAACAUCCAUUAGACAAACCCUGCGUGUAUAUCACAAGACAGACUACUACAAUUCCAAUCCACUUUCAAAUUAAUUUGCAGUAAAUUUCUCCAAUCAUUUCAAUGUCUUGUAUAUCCUCCAAUUCUCGUGUUGCUUCUUGACCAUCGAACAUCUCAUGAUGCCCGUGCAGCUAUACCUUUUUAAUUUUUUUUUUUUAUGAAUACACACGAAUUACAUUCGAGCAACACUGCAAGUAAAUCCACACAAAUUGUGCGUACAAUAAACCAUAUAUGUGGGAACCACUGAGCUAAAGCAUAACCAUAAUUGUGCGUGCCCCACCACCUCUCCUGGUGAGAUGGGAAGUCAGGGGUUUAACCCUUGCCUCCCAUCAAAUUGUCUGGCCCUCAUGGACAACUCGAUUGGUCUUAACAAGCCUCCUUAGGAGUUGGUGUCCAAUGCCCACAAGGGUCCGAAUCCUGUGAUUAUCGUGUUCGAGGGGAUGGGGCCUCUCCUCCCUAACUCGAGUGGGAUUAGUCGGGCCUCGUAAGGAUUGACCCAACACCCACUCCGUCAGCAAAAAAAAAAGAAAAAAAAAACCAUAUAUGUGGAAUAAGUAAUACACAUAUCUUUAACAUCAGAAGCACCUUUAGAGUGACCUCUUAACCAGCUCGAGUAAGGGUGCUGGUUGACGUAACAUUCUUACUUGGUUACUGAUUUUCAAGGUAUCCUAACAUAAAAGGUCCCUCAAGUCAUGGAUCAAAUUUUCUUACUUUACAAUACACCUAAAUUUUCUUCAAUUGUUCUCGAUGCAUCAAUUUUUUUCAAUGUGGUAAAUUAAUCGAUUAAGUUCGCCCAAAUUGAAUAUGAUUUUUAAUGGGGUAACAUGUUUCUGCAUCAAAAGAUAAAUUAACCGCCAAUAAUCGAUGACUUGUGGAUUGAGGAGGGAAAAAAAUUUACUAGUGGAGAUAUCUGUCCAUAGAUCAUUAAUUUUAUAAGGCCCAUAAAUGUCCCACUAUUUCUAUGUGUGAAAAUAUAAUUUUUUUUCUUUUUUAAGCAAAUGAUGGAUUUUAAGGCUAUUUCAGUGCAACAUGUAUACCUAAGUUGUCAAAAUUCGUUCAAUUUGAGGUUGAUUGGUCGAUUGUAUCAUGAAUUCGGAGUUUUGCACCCAGUUCUUACUCCUGGACCUCAUCUGUUGUUUCCACAACUAGAGAAGCACUCAAUGGCAUUUCACACUAAUAUAAAUUAAGUUGAUUUUCUUCAUCACUAAAUUGGUUAUUUUUUUUAAAUAAAAAAAUUGAAGUAAAUUAAUCAUUGUCAACAAAUUAAAUUUGCACCAAUUCAACAAAUUUGCACCAAUUAUACAAAUGAGAAUUCCAAGAUUUGAGAUCUCCCCACUCGCACUAUACAAAAAAAAAAAAAGAACCUCUUCUUUUUCUUUUAUGCAUUCUACAGAAAUUAAUAAUAUGUUCAUAAGUCACCUCCCAGACCAUGAAUUUUCUUGAAUGCCAAAUUUUAAAAAUCCUACUAAUAUCUAUUUGGAGUUUCUUUAAUUUUACGUCCGUACACACCCAUACACACAAAACAAUAUGAAAUUGUAAACUCAACUCGGAAAAAAUCACAAAGCCCAGGUUCUUCAAGAACAUGUUGAAGUGUGAUCCAAUGAUAUGCUAAGGCCCAAACAAAAACUCAUAAAGUCAACAUAGCCCACGUAGUAUUUUCAACUUUUUUUUUUAAUCCACUUACUUCUCCCUACAUCCUUUCCACCCCUAUUCAGUAAAAUUUACAUGUAAAAUUAAAAAUUUCCUUUUUUUGAUUGGUUAAACUUUGACUGCUGAGCGAUCAAGUGAAGAAUAAGGGUUAAUACCACUUUGUCCCCUCAAACUUCGGACGAUUACCCACUUCAGUCUCUAAACUUUAAAAUGGGAUACUUAAGUCCCUAAACUUUUAAAAUGGGACACUUAAAUCCCUAAACCCUUAUAAAAUGGGACACUUCGACCACCAAUGGUAUUCAGGAUUUGUUAACAAUUUUCUUUAAGUAUGAGGUAUUUAUAAGUUUAGGGACUUAAAUGUCUCAUUUUGAAGUUUAGGGACUGAAGUGGGUAAUCAUUGAAAGUUUAGGGGGACAAAGUGGUAUUAACCCGAAGAAUAAAGGUUGGCAAGAAUGGUUUUUGGUUGGGAAGGGAGAGAAGCGGGAAAGAGCGAUCAAGUGAAGAAUAAAGCAGAAAAAAAGAAAUAUUAACAAAAAUCCAAAAACGGUUUCCGCUGCCGGGAUUCGAACCCGAAGUUUAACUUAACCCAAUUUGAUAAGUGCCACAGCGGAUGCACUCCCAGUUGUAUACGAGCCUCAGGUUAAUUUAUUUAAACUAAGUUCUGAAACUAAGUCCUCAUAUCCAUCUAAUAUUUCCUUUUUCCAAAAGUGAUCCUUUGAACCCCAAUUUCUAUUACCAAGUGUUUUUUUUUUUUUUGGGUUCCAUUCUACCUCUUCUUUAUCUUUUAUGCAUUCUGCAGAAAUUAAUACUAUGUUCAGAAGUUACUUCCCAAACCAUGAAUUUUCUUGAAUGCCAAAAUUUAAAAAUCCUACUAAUAUCUCUUUGGAGUUUCCUAAUUUUAAGCGCAUUCACUAAAAUUUACAUGUAAAAUUAGAAUUUUCCGAAUAAAUAACUUAUAUACAAUUAGAACUGUAACUCUACUACUAUGGGAACUCGAAAUAUAUAUAUAUAGCCUUUUUCCUUUUGGGAUUUCAAUAUGUCGUCAACGACUGACAUUGUUUAUAGCUAAAUUCGGGGUUCAAUAUAAAUACUAAUAAGAUUCAAAUAAAAUUUUCCCUACCCUUUUCCGACUUCUUAAAUUUUGCUGAAAAUAUUUAAAGAUUCAAAUAAAAUUGUCAAUAAAUGUGACAUCAAUGCAGACUUGCUCAAUGAAUUAAUGAAUGCUGCAUGUUUUAAUACAUGGGAUGAUUAAAUAAACUUAACGGCCAUUCUCUAGACAAGUUAGACAAAGAAAUGUGUUAGAAAAAUGCCCGAGGACAAAAUGUAAACUGCAAAGCUAUAUUCAAGACUCAAGAUUGAAGAGCCGAACCAAACAAUAACUGAACCAGUUCUUUCUCUAUUACACUUUAAAAUCUAAGGAAUUUGGAACAUUUUAAUAAAUUAGCAAAGCAAAAUAUAUAUAUAUAUAUAUAUAUAUAUAUAUAUAUAUAUAUUAGAGAAGAUAGAUUACCGAGGCUCAAUUCUUUAACCUCGCAGAAACAAGAUCAGGUGGCUGUGGACUUCUAACCAUGUGUUACCAUGACCACUACAACAUUGUUAAUUAACGUCCAAAUGAAAGUAACAUGACAUUAUCUAACUUUGAUGUGAAGUUACAAAACUGGACGAGACUCAAAACCAGUUCAAACUGAAAUUGAAUAAAACUGGCAGGAGUCCAUGCAAAAUCAACAUCCACGUUUAGGUAAAAAAAAACCGAAGCUGAAUUGUUUGGAUGGAAAAGGUUGUAGGUGAUUAUCACAUCCCAUAUAGCCUUGGCCUUGAUAAGCAUUAAUGGCUUUAACUUGCCCUGGACAUUGAGGCUCAUAAUUAACCUCAUUGGAACCACCAACAAAGAGCUUCCCUAUGAAAACAGCAGGAAGACUUGUAUGGGAUCCUAAUGCUAGCAAUGCAUUCUCGAUCUCCCUUCCUUUGGGAUGAUAAUCAAGCUCAUAAACAGUAGGAUUCGCCCCGAAACUGCAUAUCAACAUCUUAAUAGCAUGGGAUAUGCAGCAGUUGCUCUUGCUGAAUAUCACAACUGGCUUUUCUGACCCCAAUCUCCUCACUGCUUCCAUUCUGCUUUUGGGAAAAAUAAAAUAAAAAGUCGAGAGAAGUGAUCAAAGGCUUGAAAAUGUGCACUAAUCUUGCUUGAUCUGAUAGGAAUUGUAGGACUUGCUUUUAGAAAAAACUGGAGUGCAUGAAGGUGUAUAUGGAAUGCUGAAGAUGAAUGCAAUAAUUUUUUAACGAAAAGAUUAUAGGGAUGCAAAAUAUUGCUACAAAAUCUGAUGCCUGGAUCAAAUCAGCAGCUAUAUGAAAAAAGGUUGAUAUGUCCCGACUAGACAGAAUCUCAACUCGCUUGAAGAUUCUGAAGUUGGUUUUUUCAUGCAAAAAAAAAAAAAAAAAAGGAAAGUAGCAGAUGAUAACAGUCGUAUUUCGCCUUUUAUCACAUUGAUAUAUUUCCUAUACUAUUUAAGAAUAAGUUAUGUUUAAAGGGGGUUUGAAUUUCAACAGCAUGAAUAGGGGCUUUUGGAAAUGUGAAAUGUUGUAUAGUUUUUUUAGAAUUUUUGUUAUUGUUGAAGGCAACAUGUGUUUAGGUAUAUUUAUCAAAGUGCUCUUUUUGUACGUUUAAAACUUCGAUUUAUGGGAUAAUUUCAGAAACCUCCCCUGAGCUUUGUUAUAAUAUCACUCAACUCCUUUCAAGUUUUUAAAAUCUCACUUACCUCCCCUCAAGUCUUAAUCCAGAAUUUGAGUCAAUCAUCUAGUUAAUUUCUUGCCAAGCGAUAAAUGCAUCACACGACUAUAUUUUAGAUUAAAAGUGUGUUUAAUUAAAUCCUACGCCUCUCUCGAGUCGAUGGUCAUAAGAGUUCAAUUAAAUCCAUUAAAAUUCUCAGUAAUAUAGGUGUAUUACACAUAAUAUAACCUAUUCUCGUGAUUAGUCUACGUGUGUUUAUCUAUUUAUUGCACGGUUGUAUCUCCUUUCUCAAGAGAAAAAGAAGCUAUUGUUUAUCCAGUUGACUGACCCCCCUAGCCCCAAUAGCAAAAAGAAUCUCCCACCCAAAUCUAGAAACAGCGUAGAAUCCUUGACUAAACCAAACGAGGGGCAUGCCAUAAGGCUCAGCAUUUAGAAGGGAGAAGAAGGUACCAAGAAGGGCUCAAGCAGAUUCUCCACGAUCUUGAGACUCGCCCACCAUAUAUAGAUGCCUUUCUCCACAUGAUAAAUGGACUAAGUAAUUAUAUGCAAGGUACAAUCAUAUUUAUCCUUCAUAUCUCAUCAUAUAUUCCUUGGGAAGAAAAACAUUUAAUGACAACUAAGGGUCAGUUUGUACCUUUUUUUUUUUUGUGUUUUGUCGUUUUGCUGCGUUAAAGAAUCUAGGCUUCCAUUUCAAAAUCGAUUAGCACUAAGUGAAGGGAUUCAAGAUCUUCAUUAAUCAUUUUAUUGGUUAGUCUCCCAACCAAUAUGGAUUAUUUAAGCUUUAAUCAAACUGAAUUGCUCUUUUUGACGAACUCUUAAUAGCUUCCAACGCUAGUCCCUGUCAACUAUUAGCAAAAAUCUGCCAUGUCCAUUCGCCACACCGAAGGCAUAUAUCCUGUGAAAAACGACAUCAGAAAUGCAACGACAGCUUGCAUAUCUCAUCUUCUUUUCUUUUCUUUUUUUUUUUUUAAUUGUUCUUGUAAGCGAAGAGUAGGAAGAGAAUAAGGGAAUUAAAAACCUAAUAUUGCUAAGGGCUUUUGUAAUGGAUGCUCUAAGGGCACCGUUAACACAUCCAAUAUUCACCUAACCAACCAUAUAUAUAUAUAUAUAUAUAUAUAUAUAUAUAUAUAUAUAUAUAUAUAUAUAUAUAUAUAUAUAUAUACACACACACACAUAUAUACUAACAAUUAUUAUCUUCUCCUGCAUUUAUAUACUUUUCUUAUUUAAUUUUGUCUACCCUCUCUUGUAUUUAUUUAAUUUCCCUAAUUAAUUUUGUAAUUCCAAAAAUUAUAACACCUGAAAUAUAUUUUAACAAGUGCCCAUAGAACACCCGUUGGACAAAUCAUAUUUCUAAUUUCUGGAGUUACAACCUUAGCUAUGAGGCCAUUUGCAUCUCUCAUCUUAACUAUUCUAAAUGUGCAAAUGACCUCCAACAUUAAUUUGUGAACAUUACUAGAAGAGAAUCGCAUGUAGCUGCAUAAAUCCUUCAUGAAAAAGGAAAAAAUCUUAGGACACGAAGAUUAUCUUUAUCUGACAAGAUAGAGUACAAUAAAAAAAAAUUCUCCAUUCAAUUCAAAGUCUUGUAUAUUUUGGAAAUCAUGCGUUGUUUCUACAAUCAUCUAUAAGCGACCAUGAAUUAACGACUAUUGAAUAUUGUCUCAUGAUGCUGAGUAGUCGCACUUUUAUAAGCAACCACACCCAUUGGAUCAAUGCGAAUGGACUUACCCCUAAGUAUUAUUUUCUUUCUUAUUAACUAGUAAACUAUUUUCGAGUUACAUUCUAAGACACUUCGUCUGUAACCGACAAAUUACAGAUUCGAAUCAUCAAGGGAUAAGUAGAGAAUUAUUCUUGAUCCUCUCAAAAAAAUCUAUAAAAAAAAAAAAAAAAAAAGUUACAAUACCCCUUAGGAGCUUCAAUUUCCCCUGUUUUUUUUCAUCAAUUAUUCUCGUUGUAUAAAAUUUUGUUCAAUGCCAUACAACAAAUUAAGUUUGUCCAAAUCGAAUAUAAUUUUUUCAUCAGAUGACAUGCACUUGCUGCAUCAAAAGAUAAAUAGACCACCAAUGAAACCAACGAAUUUGUGGAUUUAAGAAGAAAAAUAUGCAUCAGAGUUACAUAUUUGUCCAUAAAUCAUUGGUCAUAUAGAGCUCGUAUUUGUCCUUUUAUUUUUUCGUGUGUGUCAAUACAUGUUUUCACCCCAAAUAUUUGAAUUAAUUCAUGCAAUUUUUUACUGUUUACCUGAGUUGUCAAAAUCCGGCUCAAUUAUUGAUGAAUUGAUGGAACUUUUGCUUUUUCUGUCUUUUUUUCGCCUUUUACUCUUUAAUUGGCUGCGCAGUAAAAAUCUAGUAACAUGGUUAAUAACUCAACCAUCAUUGAAACUUGAAUUUUAUUACCAACAAAGAAAAAAUUCUUGAAUUUACAACCUUUUCAUCUCAUGACUUCGAAUUGUCCUUUUUUUUUUUUUCUUAUAAUUAGAGACGUUAGAAUUACAAGUGCAACAACUCAUAAAAAUUGCUGAGAGGUCAAUAAAGGCCAGCACUUAGCAAUAAUGGUUUUUGGUUGGGAUCGGAGAUAAAAAAAAAAAAAAAAAAAAAAAAAAGGUUCACAGAAGCAAAAUUUCUUCUGCUGCCAGGAUUCGAACCCGGCUACAGCAGAUUUGCCCCUUGUUGCUUCCAAGAGUCGGUUUGACAUUAGCUAUUCUUUUCCGUGAAAAAAAUUUUUAUCUAGUGACUAAGAUUGAGACGUCUGGAUAUUAGAGAUUCUAAAUUUAAAUUCCUCCUUUCUUUUCCGUGCUUCUUGAAUUUCAUUCCUCCCAACUAGCCACCCAACAACAAAGAACCUGAUCUAGUUAGUUUGAUUAUGUAGCAGAUUAAAAGUAGGGGAGAAGAUAACUCGUAAAUUAGCUAAACUCAUUUCUUUUCCAUUUGCAUUUUGAAACUGAAGCCUAGUGAAACAGGAUAUAGUGGCAUGGGUGGUCUCCUAAUUAAUACUUCCUCCGUUCCAAUUAUUUUGUCAUGUUUCGAAAAUCUAAUUUAGUAAAAAAUAGUAAUUUGAUUGUAAUAUUUAUAUUUCUCUAUCUAAUUUUACCCGUAGAAAUUCAAAAUUUGAGUUUGAAUGAUAACAUGCAUAUAAUUAAAGAUAAGAAUUAUACUGGAAAAAAAUAUUAAAAAGUAUUUUGACUUUUUUAACAUAACAAAUAUUUUGAAAUAUUUCAAAAUAAAAAAUAUGAUACUUUCAAUGGGACAAAAGGAGCACGAGUUACCAUGAUAUAUAUGACCCACUAGACAUUUUUAUUAUUUCAUAAUGAGAGUACAAGAACGUAAUACAUAUAACUUUGAUGUGAUAUAACUCGACGAAGACUCGAAACGGGUUUAAACUAAAAUUUAAAAAAAAAAACUGGUAGGACUCCAUAUAUGCUAAAACGAGACAGAAGACCUAGGCUGAAUUGCUUAGAUGGUAAAUUCUACGUGUGUUUAUCACAUCCAUAUUGCCCUGGCCUUGAUAAGCAUUGGCUUCAACUUACCCUGGACAUUGAGGUCCAUAACCUCGUUGGAACCACCAACAAAUUGCUUCCCUAUGAAAACGGCAGGUACACUUGGGUAGCAUCCUAAUGCUACCAAUGCAUUCUCCAUUUCCGUUCCUACUGGAUGUUGAUCAAGCUCAUAAACAGUAGGAUUCGCCCCGAAACCGCAUAUCAGCAUCUUAAUAGCGUGGGAAAUGCCGCAGUUGCUCUUGCUGAAGAUCACCACUGGCUUUUCUGACCCCAAUCGCAUCACUAUAUCCAUUCUACUUCUGGCAAAAAUGUGAAAUCAAGAGCUAUGUAUGAAUGUGCUCCAGCAAUUGAGUUAGUUGAUAGGAAGUUAUAAGGCUUGCUUUGGGUGAAAACCUGAAGCGCAUGAAGGUAUAUAUAUAUAGAGGGCUGGCUGAGAAUGACUGGUUGCAAUAUCUCUUUUUUGGAUAACAACAAAAGGGCUAUAAGAUUACUGUUGCAAAUUUGAUGCUUUGGGGGCCGGGUCACAUCAACAGCAAUAUGAUAAAGGAUUGAUAUGAAUCUCAAGCUGCAUUAGCAUUCUGGCACUGGUUUUUCAUGCAGAAAAAGGAAAGUAGUCGACGAUAACAAUCUUUUUGCCUUUCCAUGAUGCUUAGUGCAUGCGGAUACUACUGCUCAUGGAAUCGAUGCGGGAGCGGGGCAUGCACGUACAGUUGUGUUGUAUUUGGUUUUGUCCAGUUAUUAUACAUGUUAUGAUUAAUUAUUGUUGUACAGCCACAUAAUUUUAUUUAUUGUACCAAUUAUGUAUGAAAAAUUUAAAUUACAGUAUAUCAAAAUUUUCACGAAUACAACAAUAUAAUGCUAUUAUAUGUAUAUACCAAACAAUGUAACAUGUAUAAUAAUCGCAAGAAUCGCAUGAAACCAAAUAAUAUUUCGUUUGCAUCACAAACACAUUUUCCAAUUCACCUUUUUAUAUUCUCAACUACUUUUUAUCUCACAUACAUCACAUCAUAAAAAGUGCUACAGUAAUUAUUCUAAAUAAUACUCUAUCCAAACACACUCAAUUUUUUGUUUUAAGUUUUUUGUCCCAAAAUAUUACGAAAGAAAAUGAUAAUUAUAUGCAAAGACGGGCACACAAUGGCAUUACUGAAGUUAAAGUUCAGCCCAAUAAGGUAAAAUUAGUUGCAGAGUUAGGACCUAAUGUUAGAUAGGGCAAUUACUUUGAUGCAUAAUGAUGCGGUACAAUUAAGGCAAAAUUUUUUGUUGAAAAACUUUAAUAACUAGUAUGACAAUGGUGUGAAAUUUGUUAAAAUUGUAUAGUGUUUCACAAUAAUAACAAUUAGAUGAGAAUUAUUUUUUCAUACAAUUAAUAGACAACAAAAUCUUUAUGUACCAAAAGUUUUAAAUUUUAUUUUCUGUCUGCUGAAUUCUCAACUAGUACGUACUUGGCUUCAUUUCAAGCAUUCCAUUAUUCAUAAAUUAAGUGAUAAUUGUAGAUUUCAAGAACUCAAAGGGGCAAAGUAAUUAUGAAAUAUAAGAAAAUUUUAAAAAAUUUUUAGGGGAUGCAAUUAUAUGACAAAAUUAAAAUUUUAAAAUAUUUCCAAGCCUAUUUCAAAAUACUUCAAAGUUGAGGUGAAGCAAUUGCCAACCUUCACUUGAAUGUGGCUCUACCACGGGCUAAAAUGACAAAAUAUUAAAAUAGGAACAAUUGUAAUGUAAUUUCCAAACCAAGCAUUGAGUUCCCUAAAGCCAAAGCCUUUCCUCGACAAUGUUGAACUCAAAAUUAUAAGGACAGGGAGAUUAGCAAUACUCUCAAAUUAAUAUGAUAUGGAAAGACUAAUUUACAUACACAAAAUUAUGAGUGAAAAAAAUUAUAAAAUCUACACUACAUUACUAUCAAGCACUGAAAUUAAGACCCACAACGCUCACUCUUCUCAAACAAAUACAAUAACAAGACACUUUACUUAUAAUUCAUGGGCGAUAAACAAGAAACAACCAUGCACCACAAGAAAUUACCCAAAUAUAGUACUAUUGAAACUACUAGAAAUAAUUGACUUGACCCAAAACCUACUAAUAAAAAAAUUUGAAUUUUAUAAUAUAAUUAGACUUGUUUUAAUAUGCGAAUAGGCAAUAUGAAUUUUACAAAUCUGGCCAGAAAUAUUAAAACAAUUUUUCUAAAACAUCCCUCUUAAUAAAAAGAGAAAAUAUGUUAUUAUUUACCUAAAUGAAUCAUCCCUCAACCAAUAUAAGGAAUCUCCCCCUUCAACAGAAAUAAUAAUGAUGAUGAUAAUAAUAACCAGAUAAUUCCUUCUUUUUUUUUUUUUUGUGGACGAGUUAAAAUUUGUUCCAAAGUGGCAAACUGUAUGAUAAAGCUGAUCCAGAAAAUGACCUACAAUAGAACAAGCUAAUUCUCCACCCAUCCAUUUCAAGAAACAGCACACAAUCUUCGGGUAAAUCAUUAACCAUGAAUGAUGAGCACCUAAUUGAUCCGUGCAAAAAGGACGAAGAAGGUAUCAAGAUUAAUGGCUCCAAACUGUAGCAGAUUCUCCCUUUUAAGCAAUUUUCUUCUUUAUAGCUAAGAAUAUGCUUUCUUGAUUUUCUCCACAUGAUCAUAUUGUCUUUGCCCUCUUAUCAUAUAUUCCUUGAUCAUACAUGUAGAUGCUUAAUGGAGCUAAAGGUCGGUUCUGUAAGCUUUUUGGAAAUUAGAUUAAAGGGCUGAGGAUGAAGCCCUCAUGCUGUCAUGCAUAAGGUACAAAUCUUAAUAUUUUGAUUUUGAGCAUCUUAAAGUUGAUCAAAUCUGUUCUUAAGAACUAAACAAGGAGAAGAAUGAAAUGGGGAAAAAACAAAGAUUAAUUUUUAAUACAUUAUUGUCAGUGUAAUGAUUUAUUUUAUAUUAACAGAUUUAGAUGCAACUCUUUAUCGAAUUUGAAAUCUCCCUUUUGCAAACUCUAUCAUGCAUCCACGUUUUUGUAAAAAAGCUUUUACAAUGACAGUAAAAGAAAAAACAAUUCAUAACAAAAUGCUUGCAUUGCAAAUUGAAGCCUAUUCUCAAACAAGAAAAAAAAAAAAAAAAAAAAAAAGUUCCUUGACGGUAUAUGAUAUCCACUGUCUUGUGAUUGAACUCUUAUAUAUGAAUUUUCCACCUUGUUAAACAGUUAACCUUGAGACCCGUAAAAGAUAGGUAUAGUGUAGAUUUAAAUUCAUGUUCACUAUUGGAACAAAAUCCACGUUGACCCCAAUACCUACAUUAACCAUAUGAUCACGAAAUUUUUAAUUCGACUCUCAAACUCUCCAUUUUAUUUUGUUUUUUUUUUUAAGGCUUGAAAUCUCCCUAGAUUGAAUUAAAAACAAACAAAUAUAUGGAUAUUGAGUCUUCGAGUGCUCUUGUUAAUGCUAAUGUUGAUAUGGAAUCUGGUGUCCUGAGCAAAAUUGUGGUUAAUAUCUCUCAUUCUAUAAAUAUUUCAGUUGACGAUCAUGUGAAUCAUGUUCAAUCUCCUCCUUUGCUCCAUGAUGUAUAGUCUUAUGGUUUUGAUUGAUACUGGGUUGGGAUCAAAUAUUUCUGAUGCAUCUCUCGUGUAGGUUAGGUCUGAUGAGGGUGCUUGCAGUAACUCUCAGGUGGAUCCUUUUUUGUUGACUAAUGAUUUAUGGCAAAUGAAUCUGGUUGGUAAUUAUUCCAGCAUUUCACAAAGUGCCAAUAAUGAUAACAAUGAAGAAGAUCAUUAUUCACAAAAUGAAAGGGAUGAAGCCCUUAGUGAAAAUUAGUUUAUCCCAAUAAUUUCAAAGAAGGUCAAGGGACAGAAGGGAACAUUCAGAGUCUAGCUAGCAAGGCGAUGCAAACACAACAAAAGUUUAGGAUUAAUCUUCUAUACACUAACAGUGUAUACACUUUCACUAUUAGAUGCAUGACACAUAAUUCGAAUUUGAAUUUGAAACUCAAAUAUUGUAUAUGUGUCAUAUAUCCAAUCGUGAUAGUGUAUACACUGUCAGUGUAUAUAAAUUUAUUCAAAAAUUUAAAUCAAAAACUCAAACCAAUCCAUUAUACUACAAACGUGGAGCGUGUUGAGAUUAUUUAUUAUUAAAAUUUGUCAAGUUUACAUUUAGUCAAACUCGGGGGUACGUAUAAACCUAAUUUUUUAUGAGAAAAAUAAUAUAAAUAAUCCCCCCAACCCCCCCCCCCCCCCCCCCCCCCCCCCCCACAAAAGAAAAGGUAUUUGAUUACCACUAUUGCAACUUAGACACAUAACAUUUAUCCUCUUGGAACUUUAGCCUAUCACAAGGCUGGCAUCGUUCAUAACUAAAAUGGUUAUUAAUUAUUUAACCUUUCCCAAAAAAAGUGCUUGAUUUUUAAACUUUCUCUACAAAUCAGCUUUGGAAAAAUGUGCACCACUUGUAGCAAUGUGCUUUUCUCACCAAUUCCACAAAUAAGUGGAGCCCAAAGUUUUCAUUUUUCCUUUUUUUUUUUGGGUUCCAUUCUUGACCUUUAGUGACCAAAAAAGGUGUAUGGGGCGGAGGGAUUCACAGCAAUUAAGAGUUGAAAAUGGCUGGAGUUUAUUAGUGGACUUAGUAUCUCUAAAGAGGAAACUGGAAUUGACUGUUCAAUUGACAGCAAUAAGAGCUGAACUUGAUGUAUCAUUGCUAGGGAAAAAUAUGCCCUAUCCUUUCAGGUUUUAAGUAACCAUUUCUCUCAAAUAGCAAAAAUAUGAGAACAUAACUUAUAACUAAACCAUUUCUUCUCCAUGACACUGUAAAUCUAAAGAACUUGGUAAAGUUUAAUCAAUUAAUUAGCAAAGCAAAAGUACGAGAGAAGAUAAAAAUUGGCUGAACUCAAUUCUUUUCCAUUGUCACUUUAGAACUAAAACGUCACAGAAACAAGGAUCGAUCAAGUGGCAUGGACUCCUAAAUAUGAGUUACCAUGACCACUAUAACAUUUUAAAGACUCAAAACCGGUUAAUACUGAAACUUAACAAGACUGGUAGGAGUGCAUGCUAAACCUACAUUUGCCUUUAGAUGGCUUUCUUCAAUUAAAAGACAAAACAAGAAAGAAAAGUUUCAGUUCGAUGGUAAAUUCUAUAUGUGACUUCUACAUCCAUAUUGCAUUGGCCUUGAUAAGCAGUGGCUUCAACUUGCCCUGAACAUUUAGGUUCAUAACCUCAUCAGAACCACCAACAAGUAGUUUCCCUAUGAAAACAGCAGGAACAGUUGGAUGGCAUCCUAAUGCUAGCAAUGCAUUCUCAAUGUCCCUUCCUUCUGGAUAUUGAUCAAGCUCAUAAACCGUGGGAUUUGCCCCGAAGCUGCAUAUCAACAUGUGAAUAGCAUGGGAUAUGCAGCAGUUGCUCUUGCUGAAGAUCACCACUGGCUUUUCUGAACCCAAUCUCUUCACUAUAUCCAUUCUACUUUUGGCAAAAAUGUGAAGUCCUGGGCUAAAUGAUGUGCUCUAGUAUUUUACUUCAGAGGAAGUUUGAGGGCUUGCUUUGUGUGAAGGCCUGAAGUGCUUGAAGGUAUAUAUAGAGGGCUGGCUGGCUCCGGGCUAGUGAUGGAAGAUUUAUAACAUUUUUCUUCACAAAAUAGCAAAAGGGCCGCAAGAUUUUGCUUGGAAAGUUGAUGCGUUGGGGUUCAUAUCAGCAGGUACAUGAGAAAAGGAUUGAUGUGUAUUCCUUCCUAUAGAGUAUCACAAGUUGCAUUAGCAUCCUUGCAUCGGUUGCUCAUGCAGAAAAUGGAGAGCGGUAGGUGAUAGAUAAGCAAGUAAGAAUCUUUUGCCUUUACUUGAUGCUUUGUGCGGACGUAGUACGGCUCUUGGAUUCCAUACAUACGUCAAAUUUGGGGGAAAAUAUCAGUAUUGUACAAGGAUUUUUUUUUUUUAUUAUUUGAGCUUUCUUCGUUUUCUUCCUGGAGAGCAUGACCAAAAAUAAAUAUGAACCUUUUUUUUUUAAUGGUUCUGGUCACAACCAAGAGUCCUAGCAUGCCUCCAGGACCAUCGAUGGCUUAUAAAAGUACUCACAUAUAUUAUACACCAAGACAACCCUCUCACAUUUGUAGCAGAACUCGAACACAUUCAACUUUUUUGUGAAUAAUUAAUCCGCCCUUAAUAAUUGAUCCAAUGUAUAUUUCCACAUAGGAAUAUAAUAGUUGUAUGCAAUACAAGCACAUAUUAGCAUGAGUGAACUUGAAGUAGGACCAAGCACACAUUCAGCUCCUGUAAUUCUUCUUAUGAUACUCAAUUACUAUAAAUUCAUAUAUGUUUGGUAUGACUGCCAAUUCAAUUGUGUAAGUUGACAAAUUCAAUUUACCCCUAUGUUGUUCUCAAAAGCCAAAUCCCUUUUUGGGCAAUGUCAAUAGUACAAAAGUGGCCAGAGAAGAUGAAACGAGAGAUGGACUUCUCAGAACAUUAUUCCUUCAACUGUGUGGUGCAGGGGAGGGAUUCCCUAUCAGGUACUAAUGCUACCUUUAUUCUAUCUUUUUUAUACAGCUUAGACCACUGAUCAAAAGAGAAAAAAGAAACCAUUGUUUACCAGUUGAUUCAGCCCUCGAUUACUAACAAGAAGGAAUCCCCCUCUCCAAAAGAAACGAAAAAGAAAAUCAUGAUAAGAUCGGAUAAUUUGGCACCCAUCUUUUUCAAGAAACAGCAUACAUUCCUUAACCAAGCCAUUUAUGAGCAUGGUAUCGAAAUCCGUACAAAACGAAGAAGAAGGUACCGAGAAGGACUUUGGAGGAUAGCAGAUUCUCCAUAUUAUUGUUCUCUGUCACAAAAGAAGAUGCUUUCUCGAUUUUCUCCGCAUGACAAAUGGCUUAAACAACCUGGAUCCAACUAUGUUUUCUUUCCCAUCAUAUCAGAUACCCUUUGACAUUUAGGUUCACUUGGAGUUGCGGUGCAUUUACCCCAAAAAAAAAAAAAAAGCUUUUAAGCAGUAAAAAUAUUUUCGGUAACUAAUUUUUCGUAACUUAAGCUGCCCAAGUUUUGGUAACUUAAAAACAACUUUUGUUUGUUUGACCAAAAAAAAAAAAAAAAAAGCUUCUGUUGAAAAUAUUUGUGUAACAAGUGUUUCUUUAUAAUUCACCGUAACGAGACUUAAUGAAGCUAAUAAUCAGUUCUUGAACUUUUUGAAAUAAGGUUAAGGGGCCAAGGAUGGAGCUUUUAUCAAAUCCACCUCCACUCUGUUAAAAAAUUUUGUUAGACUACAAUUUUGACCUUAGGCAAUUUGGAUGAGUGCAACAGAUAUUCAUUUCCAAAUUUUCCAAAUAUAUAGACCAGCCACCAUAAAGAACACAAAUAAAUUAUCUCAAGCACCAGAUUUCACUUUAAACCCUCGAGCCUGAUAAAAUAUAAUAUAUGCUGAUAGUAUAUGUGAUAAUUUAUCUAAAUUUGAAUUUGAAAUCCAUUUUUUACAUAUAUUUUAUGUAUCUAACUGUAAUAUUACAUACAUUAUUGAUACUUACACAUAAGAUUUACUCAAAAAUAUAAAGUAACACAUUUGUUCUGUUAUUCCUGAGCAUCUUAAAAUUGAUCAAAUAAUUGUUUUCUUUUUUUUUUUUUUCUCUCAAGAACAAAAUCCGCAUUGUCGAGCCCCAGCAUCCAACACUUGACAUUCUAACAUCAGAAAGUCGCGUCACAGUGCCAACAGCAACUUGCAUUCUUAUCUUUGAUUUGAGAGUGCAAAUGACAGCAAUUCUCCUCGAGUUAGUAGAAGAGAAUCAACCCUUGAAUUGGCUCGAAUGGUUUCGGGUAGCCUAGUUAGGUCCCGAAGUCGUAUGUUCGAGUCACCUCUCUAUCGCUACUUGUACAUCCUUGAGAGGCGGGAUGCACCGAUGCAGGAAAAUUAGUCUGGUAAAAUUGGAAUACUCCCCGUAUUUUAAAAAAAAAAAAAAAAAAAAAGUAGAAGAGAAUCAAAAGAUGGUUGGUACCCUCCGUCAAGAAAUUAAAGACUGAAAUGGUGGAAGAAAAAGGUGACAAAACGUGGGACAUAAGAUUGUAUCUUAUAUUACAAGCUAGAAUACUACAGAUAAUUUCCACUUUUGAAGUUUGUUCUGCAAAAAAAUUCUCCUUUCAUUUCAAUGUCUUGCAUACUUUGGAAAUCUUGGAUCCUUUUUUACGAUCAAUCAUCCAUAAUCAACCACGAAGUAAAGCUUGAGGAAUUUAAGAAGAUGCUUGCUUUAUUUCGAAGUACAUUAAACAAUAGGAAAAAUACCUAUUUUCAUCCCUAAAUUUUGACUUAUGGACACAUUUCUUCCUCAAAUUUUUAACCAAUUUUAUCCUCAAAUGGGAAACUAAUUAGUAAUUUGAACGGAAAUUAGACACCUGACGAAUAUGAACCUCUUGACUGAAAAGCCUUGCAUGACUUAAAAUUAGCAAAAUAGGAUGGCUAUUUUUACUCUCCCAAUUUCAAUUUCCAUUCAAAUUGAUCAAUUUCUUGUUUGAGGAUGAAAUUGGCCAAAAAUUGAUAGUUCAGAUACUAAAUGUGUUAUGCCAGAAAGUUUGAGAACAAAAUGUAUCCAUGACCCAAGGUUUAGGGAUGACAACUGGCAUUUUCCCUUAAACAAUAUGUAUUUUGAAACAAUUUAUGCAUUUUGAUAUUGGCAUUUCCCCAAGUAAAUUACAGCAAAAGUUCAAGCAUGCAUCGCCUAAUAGAACAUACAACAAAUCAAAUGAAAUUGAGAAAAAUAUCGUAGGAGGAGGGAUGGGGUUGUGACCUUUAAAGCAGAUGAUUUGACCACACGAAGUGGAUUAUCUAAUGUUUCAACUCCAUAUGGCCAUAACCACAGGAAAUUAGAAAAUUUGGAGCAAAACCAACAGUAAUAGCCAAUGACAUGUAGCACAUUCCCGCACCAUAUUAAUUAACAUGAAACUAAUUAAAUUUCAAAAGUUUCAGGUAGAUAAAAAUUAACGGCAUCAAGAUCCAAAAAGGAAAAGAAUAAUCCAUGCACAGUGCUGUGCUAUCAAAAGUUUGCCUAUAAUUCUCUUUUAAGAUAUGAAAAACAGAAAUUUUCAAUCAAUCAGCCACUUCUUACAUCUCUAUAAAACAAACCACUAUCCCAAAUUGUUUAUCGCAUUUCAAAAUUUCAACUUUUUAAGAAUAAUAGCUUCAUGAUGAUGUCAAUGAAUUUGUACUCUCUAAAAUACAAAUUUUAAAUUUGAAUUUAGUAUGAAACAUGAACAAAGGUGGGAAUAACAUUAAAAAAAAAAAAAAAGGGGAUUAAAAGUAACUUUGACUAUACUAAAAUAACAAACAUUUUGAGACAUCCAUUUCUCAAAAUAGAAAGCAUAAUAUUUUCAAUGGACGGAGGAAGUAAUGAUUAACAAGAUGAGAUGUUUUAGCAAAGACACAAGCAAAGCUACUGAGCACACAUCGAAACGGACAUGGAAGUGCAGGUAAGCCACAGAAGAGGAUAAACUAGAUGAUGAAGAUCUCCACCAGCAGGCUGCAGCUCAUGCAUUUUCCAUCUGUUUACUGAAGCGUUUAUUCUGAAAACGCAGAUCUUAGAAGUUGCUACAGACCAUUCUCAGAAAUUUUGUUCCAAGGAUCUCAAAUUUCAUGACAGGCAAGAAAUUUAGUUGGAUCAGCGAAUAGAAACAAUUGACGGCAGUUCAGGUGAACUUAUCCAUUCACCUAUAAGAGCUUGAAACAAAGAUCAUCACAUUUAAAAACAGAACAGAUCAAAAAAUUCACGGAACUACAUGCACAAGACUUGUUGCAGAAAAAGAAGAUAUAUGUAUAGAAAUCAUUAAUCAUAUAAAUCUAUCAGCAGAGUCGAAAUAACUUACUUGAAAAAAAAAAUAAAGAAGGAAAAAGUAAAGGACAAGCAAUGUCAUGUCUAACAUUACAAUGUAAAAAGAGAACAAAAUUGUUGCUUCAGGCCCAAAUUUGAUACAUGUUUUCAGCAACAUCGACGUCACAAACACUACAUUUUGACAAAGGAUCAGUCAUCCCUAUUGAACUGAAGUUGGAAUGACGGAGUUAUAAUGCUCACCAAGCCCAAAUGCAUGCCUAUGGUAUGACAGCAUAAUACUUUUAUUGGAUAAGCCAUUUCCACCUACAAAUUUGUACUCAUUUCCCAUCUCCACAUCAGGGAAGGAUCCAGAAAAUAUCAUGAUAUGUUUCUUCAGGCAAUGAGUUAGAGCACCAAGUUCCAACUGUCCUCCCCAUGCUGCCGUUGAUUCCACUUCUGUACAAUAAUUCUCAAACUUCUCUGCAAGGGUAUCAGUGGAUUCUCCAUCUGCCAUAUUCUCAGAGAGGAAAAAGGGCAGGAAUUCAGAUGCAUGAUUCCUCAUAUAUGAUGCAACCAUUUGCCGAAGUUCCUGGAAAGUAUAAGGAGAGGUACCUCCAGCCUGGAGGGCGAGCUGAUCCUCAACAGCUCGGUAAAGACAAUGCCCAUCUGGCUUCAUUUCAUUAAUGACCAAUCCAAGUGGCUCAAGUUUCUUUUCUAACCUCUCAUUUUCUGCAACUCUCUCACUGACAAUGUUACACUGCUCUUCUCGUAUUCUUUGCUCUCUGGCUGCUUCUUGUUGAGCUCUUUUCUCACGCCUCUGAACACUUUUGCUUGGUUUUGAUUUCUCAGUUUGAUUGGUCACUGAAACUCCAGCAAUGGCCUUAACCAAAUUGUCAAGAUCUCCUUUCUCUUUCUUGUUGCUGCUGCCAUAACCUGCAGAAGCCAGUUCUUCUGCAUGUCUUUCUUUGAGUUUUGCUGAUAGAUUGGAUAUCUCUUGCUCCACUUCUUUCUUCUUAGCUUUCUGUUCAGCCUUGCUGCCCUUAGCAGCUGCCUUUUUCAAUCCCACUUCCUUAUUUUGUAAUUGGGAGAUCUCUUUCCUGCAGUAUACAUGAAUUAAAAUGCUUUUAUUCACGGUAACCAAUUCAAAACACGGUGGUUCUACUUAUCUGUUUCAAAAUAGGUUAUCAAUUACUAAAGCUUUAAUAUUCUUUUCUUUAAUUCAGGAAAUUGUUGUAGAAGUUCCCAAUGCAAAUCCAUUCACUUUCAAACUAUAUAUCAAUGGCAAUUAACAUAAAACAUCUAAGAAUGUAGAAUUGUUAGACAGAGAUAGAGAGAGAGAAGGGGGAGAGAUAACUGAAUCAACAGUGGUACACCAUAUUCAAAAUUAGAGAACUGAUAAAGUCUAGACAAACAUUACACCACCUAUGCCUAGAAAGCAUCUCCUCAAGGCUUUCUUCCUUCUUCACAGGUGUGUCUUCUAAAAUCUCCUCAGAAGGCUUACCCACCACCUCAGGUCCAUCCUCCAUUUGCAACUCUGAGAUUAAACAGGACAGCAAUAUUGGCAUGUCAGGCAAGCAUCACAUUUCGAUGACUAUAAUUUUGCAUUGUGAAAUGAAAGAGACAUUUGUCACUUGAUUAUUAUGAUGUAUCCUUCCUUCAUGUCUUAAAUAAGCUAAGGGCAAGGAAUGAAAUAUCACGAAAGAUCCAACAAGUAGUAGUAACUGGGUGUAAUGGCCCAUGUAUAUACUUCGUUCUUUUCAUCUGGACAUGCUCAAAUGGCAGUCAGGUUAACAGAGGUCAACGCGCCUUAAAUCAAGAAUUCUUAAACCUACAAGAACAUGCAACUAUUGCACAUUUAGUUCAUAGUCUAGACCAGGGGUGUGCAACGAAUUCGAAAUCGGUAAAUCGGAAGUUUGAAAUCGGAAGUUUUUGAAAUUUUGACAUGUGAAUUGCCGACCGAAUUCAAAUUCGAAUUGGCCAAUUCCGAUUUCGAAUUCGAUUCCGAAUUCAAUUCGGAAUUUACCGAAUUCGGAACUUCCGAAUUCGUCAAAUUCAAAAGCCUGUUUUCCAAUUUUUUUUUUAAUAACUUCUCGCAAGUCUGCAUCACAAUACAGGCAACACCGGCAGUGGCAAGCAGAAAUAUUAAAUGAUCAGUUUCAUAUUCUGAUGACUACAGAUUCUACGAAGGCUGGCUGUGCAGAUGCAUCUUUGGUUAAAUUAAAUCUAGCAGUUGGUUCAAAAUGGAACCAACACAAUCAAGUUGCUGCAAGGAAAUCAUCUUGAGAACGGCCAAAAGGUCGAUUGAGGAACAUGGCCAAUCGAACUCCACCCUGAGACCUGGGAAGGCAACAACUAACGGUGGCAAUAGCAGUGGCAGUAGCAGUAACUUAUACAGAGUCCAUUUAUUACAAUACUAAUACAACCAUUCCAAUCCACGAGAAUAAAAUAGCAGGCACAUAUGUUCCAAUAAACUGCAUUUGGGAAACUGAAAUAAGACCAAAACUACCAAAAUUGACUAAUUUUUAGAUCACCUUCUUAAAAGAUAUUGCUUUUAUUGAAAUUUCGCAACUACUAGAAUACUCACAAGCUGUUUGAUGAAAUGCCUAAGAAAAAUAAACUAGAAACACAAAUUAAUAACAAUUAUAGCAUAGCCCCUAUUAAGUAAAAUCACCAGCGUACAUCAAUUUGUCCUUGAAGAUGAAGGCUGAUGAUGGCUUGAAGAUGAAGACUGUCGGGCUGAUGAUGGCUAGCUUGAUGGCUUGAAGAUGAAGGACUAGAGUGAGAGAGAGUGAAGAUGAAACCUGAGAAAGUAGGCAAGCUGAAGGCUGAAGGCUCAUAGUUGAGCUCCUUCUCGACUGAAGACUGGUAGACUGGUGGCGGACUCGGCGGAGGAAGGAAGGUGAGAGUUGUGAGACUGGUAGACUAGCGGGGGAGGAAGGAAGGAAGACCGAAGACUGGAGCUUAAGUGCUUAACAGAUUAGGUUUUGCUUUUUUGUCCUUUUUGGAGGUUGUUUUGUAACUUUGUUAAUUGUUAGAUGUAUAACGUAUUAUUGUUAAUUUGUUAUUAUGUUAUAUAAUAUAAAUUUUAUAUUACAUAUAUUGUAAAAAAAUAUUCUAUUAUAUUAUAUAUAUAUAAAUAUUAUAAAACGAAUUUGAAAUUAGUUUUCCGCUUUCGAAUUCCGCAUUCGAAAUUCCAAUUCGAAAUCGGAACUACCAAUUUCAAAAACUAUAUUAUCGAAUUCGAUCCGAUUUCGACUAAUUUGAAAUCGGAAAUGCCGAUUUGAAUUCCGAAUUACCAAAUUCGAAAUUCCGAAUUCAAUUCGAAAUCGGUCGGUAAAUCAGAAUUUUUCGAUUUUGCACACUCCUAGUCUAGACUUAAAUUUUGACCUUUACACAUUUCAAGGCCAUAGAAACGCUCAAUAGAUUAAAAGGUCCCCUUUCACUAAAGACUUUAACUUCAGUUUUCCAGUUUACGUCCAGUGAGGAUAGGCCAUAUUGUAAUCUCAACAUCAAAAGAUUCAAGGGAAGGAACACCCAUCAAUAAAGCCAUAUAAUUGGAAAAUGUCACACAAUAAUAUAACCAAAAGUAAAGGCUUGAUAACAGAACACCACAAAUCUCAUUAACCAGAUCAUGACUUACUGGCAUGAAAAGUAUUGGGUGAUAACUAUCAGCGUAGAAAAGUACUAAAGCAGUCCUAUUCCUUUUCAUUUAUUUCCUUUCAAGAGAAGAAUGUUAUACAAUUAAAAAAAUUUAUGCCGUUUCUCAGUUUUAAGCUCAUCUUAUUGUGGUCUCAGAGUUUCUACUAUUGGCACAUAAAACCCUAAGCUUCUUUAUGAUUUCUGAGUGAUAACAACCCAAAAGUAACUAAAUGUAGAUCAGAUUAAGUCAAAGCUUGCAAAUUUACAUGCAUAAAAAUACACAUACUUCUGAUCCCCUCAUUUUCCACUAUAAUUCCUAUAAUCUUCUUCAGUAUUUAGCUUGCAUUGAUUUUAGAACAAUUGAGAUGUAAGUUUAAUUCACCUAUAACAAGCACGUCCUUCUUACGACUAAGCAUUUUUCUCCAUGAAUCUAACAUUCUACGGCAUUGACAACACACGUCAUGGUUUAGAAGAAUGAGAAAGAGAUCAAAUAUUUAGGGCUCCUAUGGUCUGCCUUAUAAACUGGCUUUGAUUAUUUUGAUGAUCAACAAGUAAGAGAAUCAACUACCAUAACUUCUUCCAUCGCCCCUAUUACACUCUCUGCAUUUUAUUUAUGCCCUUGCUUAGUUCUAAUUUCCUGUUUGAAUUCAGACACAAGCAGCAUCUAUUGACUUUAUCAUCCUAAGCUGCUCUAAGACACUGCACUAGGGGCCUUCUGACCACCCUUUCCUGAGACCAACUGCCAACAUAAUUGGUGGAUCUCUCUGGUCCUGGUGGUGAAACUAAAUGACUCACAAGACCAGGUUAAGACAACCUCAAGCAGUGCUUCCAGCCAACAACAAACACUACUCAAGACUUCGUUUAAAGUGUUAGCACUUAAAUAAACAAGCAUCGCUUAUUGCUUUGCAUUAUUAAAGGAACCUAAUUGAAUAUGGAUAAAACAUCCAAAAACCCUAAACUUGAAAACAAAGUGCAUAAAAAGGUGCAGCUGGGCAAGCAAAGAAAGGUUUGUCCACUAUAAAUCAAAUGCAAAUAGACUUGAAUCAAUCUGCACUCUACCGAAUGAAUGAUUUCUUCCAUACGUGUUGCCAGUAACAAUUCAGCACUACUCUUCCACCGACAAAUGUUAUAAAAGUAAACAUUCUUUGCCAACAUCCUCACUUCUCAAUUAGUCCAAAAAAUGACCAGCUAUCCUAAAUGGGUUUUUAGUAAACCUUGAUAAAGCCCUUGUGAAUCAUGUAAAUUAAGACCUCAUAUUAACUUAAAAAACAACUCAUACUUCACUGGAAUACGCCUAAUUAUUCGUAGCAAAUUCUUCAAUAAUUUCAUAACCCUCAACUACCCAUCUCUUCAAUCUCAUUAUUAGUUUAGUUUCUUUCCAAUCUCAAGUGCAAGUGGAGUGCAUAAACUGGAACAAAACCAAAAUUAUUAACACAAAAAUCAAACUUUGACAGCACCGAUUCAAUUUCUAUUUAAUCAUCAACUUUUUCUUUUAUUUUGAGCACAAAUGUAACUUUAUUUGAUAAGAGAACGCAUCAUACACAGAGAGGACAAACCUCAGUAACAAACUGCUGAACAGCCAAAAAACCAAAAAAAAAAAAAAAAAAAUUUACCCCCCCCCCAACCUAAAUUAAGACAAAACACAGUACAUAAUAGAGGAACUACUCAAAGAUAUCAAAAGGCAAACUUCAUUCAAUAGCUAGUCCACAAUUCUCACUCAUGCGUUCACCUUGUACCCCUCCACGCUACAACCAGGAAAAAAAAAGGAAAAGAAAAAUUAAACAAGAUUCCCAGACUUCCACAGGUAUCCAAAUUUAUAAUUGUACCCAAGUUGUGGCAAGCAUUCAGCUGAAUUCAGUAAUUAAUAUGCUUUCUUCAUGAUAAUUCCACGGAUAGAAAAGAACAGAAAAUUCGAUAAAUAUCUAAGACUGUAGAAUAAAUAAGCCCAUGAAAAGAGGCGGGAGGUGAAGAACUGACCAAAAAUAAAACAAAAUAAAAACCUGGCGGUGGCGGUGGCGGGCGGCGGCGGCGAAAGAAGAAGAGGGAGAUAGGCAGAGCAGAGGCGGGACAAAGACCACGGCAAUACUAAAAACAGAAGAAACUUUUAUGUGGCCAUAGGAUUAUAUGCAUAUUACGAGUGGAGAGGCCCAAAUUGGUCCAAAUUGGUGUUUUUAACCCUAAGUUUCUUAAAUUGUUCAAGCCUAGUCCUAGAAGUUAUUUUUCUAACAAAUAAUAGUGGUCAAAAAUAAAUUUUCUAACAAAUAAAUUUAAGUGAAAAAUUAAUUACUAUUUUGGCUGUCCAAGAAACUUUUAUCUUCCUGCGGAGAAAAACCAAUUGAGGAAAAAAUUUUAAAUCCACAAUAUAUAUACAUAUAAUUGGUCCAAAUUGGUGUUUUUAAACUUAAGUUUUUAAAAUUGUUCAAAGACUUCAAGUAUUAUAGUCCUACUAGUUAUUUUUUAACAAAUAAUAGAGCUCAAAAAAAAUUUUCCUAAAAAAUAAUUUUUUAAGUGAAAAAUUAAUUACUAUUUUGGUUUUCCAAGAAACUUUUAUAUGGUUUUAUCUUCGAGUGGAGAAAAAUCAAUCGAGAAAAAAACAUGAAUCCACUAUGUAUAUAUAUAUACACACACACAUAUAUUUGAUCCAUCUAUGGAAUAACCAUAUAAUUUUGGUAAUUUGUUGUUGUUAUUAUGGAUAGGUGUAGUAAAAUUGAAUAACUAAAGGAGAAAGAUUUUAAUUAGAAUAAUCUUAUUGAAGAAACAUGGGCGCAAAAAGGUCAAGCAAGCAAAAGAGAUUAGUGAUUAGAGCAUAUGAGGUACACAGAAUAUUUUAUGGCUAGUUGCCUUUUUUUUUUCUAAUCCACUAGACCACUGGUACAAUUGCCAAGAAGUUAAAAGGUAAUGAUAUGGUACAGUUUAAAGAGGAAGAUAAGAAUUUGACGUAACUGUCUGAUACCAAAACAUACUUCCAAGUUCCAACAUGCAUUGAAGGAUCUUAGACUUCUUGAAUGACAACUUUCAGUUCAUCUGAGAGAAGAAAAAGAACAAAUCAACAGGUUCAGGCAAAGCCCUCAGAGUGGCAAAUUUUCUUCAGACUCAAUGCUGAAUCCCUUGUCAGAAAUGAAUUCCUGCUUUGUGACUGAUCAAGUGCAUUGUUCUCAUUCUUAAAUCAUGUUGAUUGUUCUUCUCCACGAAACUGCCAUAAUUUCAUGUUUUGAUCACCCUGCUGUUUCAAUUGCUUCUAUGCACUCCACAACUGUUGCUUUCUUUGACAUUGCAGAGAUUAAUGCUUCAUGAAGUGCCUUAUUGUUCUUAAGCAGUGAUCCAGAAAAGAGUACCUACAAUGUAGUUUUCAGGAUUAAUUGUGUUGGUAAGUAAAUGAUGAGCUCAUUGCUUGCAAGACUUGGUACUAAACACAUAAAUCAGACCAGGCUUAUGGUGAUCAGUUGCAUAAACUUACUGCCCAUCUUGUGAGGUUUUGUUGCUGAUCUUUGCUAAGCUGUGGCUUGCUCCUAUUUAUAAAUCUCUGAGAGCAGGGGAAGAAGCCAAAUCAAUGUAACUAGAAAUCUUUCCAAGGAAAGUGCAUUUUCAGGAAAUCCUUAGACCUGAAGAGUGAAUAGAUCAGCAGAUUGGCCAACCACUUUAUCGUAUGUUAGUCCCUCUGCUGCCAAUCCAGCCAUUGCAAUUACUGCUAACCUGAGAAACAUAACUAAAGUUUAGUUUAUUAGCCUUUCAAAAAAUCUAUCCUUAAAACUUCAGUUGAGCUUUGGGAUAGGAAGGUUCAGAUUCAUCCAAGCAGAGGAGCUUUGAUUUAUUUCUCCACCAUUUGAACCACAGCUGGUCCAAAGUUCUUCAAGAUUAGGAGGACAGAAAUAGAAGGCAUUGGACACUUCAGAGACUGACGGUAAUUGCCUUUAGGUGCAGUCCAAUAAAUCCACCCAAGUUUUGACAUGAAAAGGAACUUUCAAAAGCUCCAGUGAAUGAGAAUCCCGGUUCAUUACCUUGUGAUUGUGUAUCAUUCUGAAUUACCUAUUUUUUCCCCAAUAAGAAGUGAUUCCCUUCUACAUACAAGAAAAUUUAAUAAGGACUUUCAACACUAGGUCAGUUCUUAGUAUUCUUUUUCACCAUAAACUUAGGAUCUGAAGUGUUGCUGCAAAAGUUGAAUGGAACAGUAUAACAUGAAAUAGACAUGCCUUAACGGUUAUUUCGACUCUUCUUCAAACAAGAACAUCACAUUGGCUAGAUAUUAAAGAGGAAAUGGUAAUAAGAUAAUACACUUCCCAUUAUAUCAACAGGCUCUAGUAUUAAGACAAAGAUACCUGUCUAGUUCUUUGGCAUCAAGCUGUCCACUAUAUAUCAGCUUUUCUAGUUUUUCAUCAAUGAGAUUGACAUGUUCUUUUCCAAUAUCCAGUGAAUACCCAAGGAUAGGAAGGCCAAGUAAGUAGGCAACUGCAAUUUCAACAGCAAAUUUUGUCAUGCCAAAGCAAAAUAUUUGGGGUACACACAUAUUUUGCAAAAUUGUACGAGACAGCAUCCACUUUCAUCAUAAUUUGGAGACCACCUCCUUCUCUUUCUCCUCCUUCCACACUGUGGUCACGUACAACAAAAAUAAAAGAAUUCCUUGAGGGAUUUAAUUUCUCAUCUCAGCUUAAGCUUUAUGACUGAGUAUUGUGGCUUAAGGCUCUCCCCCCCCCCCCCCCAAAAAAAAAACAAAAAAAAAAAAAAGCAUUUGGUGAAUUAAGUUUUACAUUUCAGAUUCCUUUUGUCUGGUAUUUCAUAAAACAAUAUAUAGACAAAUACUUCCUUACAUUUGCAGAUCUACAUUUGCCAUACUGAAAAAGAUGUUACCUAAAAAGUGAGCUGCCUCAUGUCUAGCAAUCCUCUCCUGGUAAUCAGGAAAAAAUGAUGCAAACCCACCAAUGGCUGCCUGAAGGAGACUAUAUCAUGAAUACAUAUCAGCAUUUGCUGUAAGACUUGCCUUCACUCUUAUCACUCCCUCUCUUCUCUCUACGACUACGCCUGUCUUCUGACCUUGUGUCUGUGCUUCUUUUUUUUUUUUUUUUUUUUGUGUUUUUGCAUGUACUAUCGAUGGUUGGGUGUACAGUGAAAGUUCUGUGCCUGUUACUCGCUAAUCUCACUUGUCUUCAGUAGACAAUCAUGGAAAAGUUAACUUUUCACACUUCACAUCUAUCAAGGCAUAUGAAAAGAUGUAUCUUAUGACUUACCCAGGGGAAACGCUCCCAACUGCCAGAACAAUUAAAGAGAUGCUCCCAAUUAAGUAUGGAAGAAAGAAACCCCAAUCCUGAAAGAGCAUAAAGUAGAAGUAUUGGAUGAAACUUUUCAGUGAACUCCACAUGGUGGUAAAGAAUAUCUAGCUGCAUAUUGGAGUAGAUGAUGAUCAUAUACUAUGCAUCACUAGACAAUCAAGCAAAAAACUGCAGAAAUCUAACAAAAAGGAGGUGACUUAGUGUCUCAAAUUCAUACAAUGUACUUCAAUUUGUAGAGCUUUUGCACCUAUUUACCUAAUAAAGCAUAAAAUUGUUUAUGGCAACACUCAUUUACUAAUAUAAGUCGCAUUUUGAGUGGUAAUAUCAUUAAUCAUAUGCUUUAAGAUCAAUAUUACAGUUUUUUACUGUUAUUGUAGCUUUAAGUUCACCAGAGAAGGGUGCUCCAACACAAUGAUUAAGGCGUGAUUCUCAUAUAGAUGAGAAGAAAGAUAUUUGCCUGCAUGAUUCAUCUAUCUAUGCUCGGGAGUAGACAAAAUAAGUAUGCCAAUGGACAUAAAGCUUACCCCAGGAAGCUGGCUAGUGAGAACACCUAAAAAACCAGUUGUUCCUACCACCGUAAAGAGAAACGCUGCCUGCACUACUGGAAGAAUUAGUUAAACUAAAAUGAAUCAGAACUACUGUAAAUUUCUUUGAGGAAAAUUAUGAAAACAUAAUCUCCAUUUUCUCAAGUAAUUAUACAUAAUGCUGCAAAGAAAACAUCAGAGCCAAUGCAUCAAGGUUUUAUGUUUGAAUUCUGAGCCAAAUUAAAAUUCUUCUUAUUUUAGAUAAUGCAGAUAUAGGACACACCAAUAUCUCUAUUUCUUGAAGAGCUACAGAACUGGUUAAGACCUGCAAGGUGGCCUUAUAAGUUGAGACCUUUUUUAAGCAUUGAAUAUGCACUUCUAUAUAAUCAGUGGAUGUGUUUGAGAAUAUGCAUUUCACGACAAACUUACAUCAUUUCUAACACUUGGGAUUGCAAGGUUCUCUGCAUUUUUAAUCCCAAGGGUUGUCAACUCUCGAAGAGAUGUCUGCGACAGAAAUUUCAGAACAAUUGUCAUUUUUCUGCAGAUGAAAACAAAAGAAUAUUUUAAGGAAACAACAUAAAAUAUAUGUUUUCAGAGUACAUGUAUGCACAGAUUUGUAGAAGAUGUUAAUGCUUGAGUAGAACUUUCCCAUAACUUCUCAUUCUCAGUUGAGACUGACCGUACGGCGUGAUACAUAUGGCUGAGAACUCCACCUUUUCGCCCAACCAACUUCACUCAGCUGAUCAAGUACUUCUUUAACUGCAUCACUUUCUUUCUGCAGCAUGUCAAUAGAUGAGAACAAUAUCAAACAAAAUGUAACUGAGGCAUUGCAGAAUUCUAAUAUUUUUCUGAUCAAAUGGAUAAAAGAAAGGAUUGAUGUGCACAAGCAUUUUAUCCUAGUAGCGACUUGUCAUACCAUAGCAAAGAACUGCAUCUGGACAUUUAACGGGUCCAAAAAUGCUUCAUAAAUUUUAAAACUUGAACUCGUUUUUGGUUAAAUUUGCUGAAGAUGCCUUCAGGCUAUAUCAAUAGCUAGUGAUGUGAUAGACCCUAAAAUUGUUUUGCAUAUGCCUAAUAAAAGAAGGGAUAAGAGAAGAAUGAUCUUGUGAUACAGUAACAUUUACACUGGUCAAUUUCACAACUUAGUAAGAAACUAAGUAAAAUGCCUUUUAAUAGUAGUUACAGAUUCGUGGCAGGACCAAUGAUUGGCCUCAGGAGUUAACCGUUAGCAUUUAAUAUGUGAAUAUUAGUGGUACGAAAAUCAGAGAUGGACAUUAUUAUUCAUGUGCAAAUCUUGUGUGCUUUCUAUGUUUUAAAUGUGCAUACAAACGUUAAGAUGUGUACAACUAGUUUUCCUGCAAAUCUGUAAACAAAUGUCGUCUGCUAAAGGCAAUAACCUAUCCUCACUCAAUCUCAAAUAAAUUUCUCAUAACCACCGUUACCAUUUAGCUGCCUACGGUUUUACAGUGCAGAACAUUCCAAAAAGAAUUCUGCGAAGAUUUCACUCUGAAUCGGUUUCAAAAAUGCCAACUUUCCAUUUGUCCGUAUAUGGAUUCUCAUAAUAGUCAAUAAUUUCUCCAAAAGUGAAAAGUCAGACCAAUUCAAUGCUCACAUUUUAUCUAAAAUUAAAAAAAUGGAAGCAAAAAUUAGUAAAAACACCUCAGAUGACAACAAUUUUUCCAUUUAUAUCCGUAAAAUGCACUACUAAUAAUCCACAAUAAGAAAAACCCGCAUGGAGAAAAAUAAAGGUUGAAAAACAAAUUUCUGUGAACAAAAGACUAACCUUGGAAAUUGCAGAUUCAAGAAUGCUGAGGUCCACACCAGAAGCAGCAGAUGAAGAAGCUCUUAUCCUCCAACUCAUGGGAUGCCUGAAACAUGUUCGAUUAUUCCAACAUUGUAAAUUAAUAUGGGAAUGGCAAAACAGAGAGGAAUAAAGGGUUGAAACGGAGGUGGAAGCCAUAUGUUUUCCUCAGGUUUUCUUUCCUUCUUUCUGUCUUCCGUGAAGUUGGUCCGGGACUCGGGGUCUGGGGAUAAGGUUGGCGGGAGGACUUGAAUAUACGGUUACAAAUGUACUAGUCUUUUUUUCCCCCCAUAUGGACCCUAUGUAUUGAGAUUUAACUGUAGAGACCUCCUCCCAUAAGGCAAAAGAUAGACAUAAUACUUUGUAAAAAUUCCCGAAUGGCAUUUCCCAGGUACCGGUUGGACUUGACAUUCCUGGCAUUGAGUACCUUAAAAUACGUUAGCAGCGUAUUUGGUCUCGAGCUCGAGGCUCGUCCAGCUCUUGAAAAUUCAAUUUAAAUUCGAUUUAAUUAUUAUUUUUAUCUUAUUUAAGUUCGAAUUCAAUGUAUUGUAUUCAACUCAAAUUCGACUUAAUGUAUUGUAUUUUUUAUCCCUUUGACCGGAUAGGAAAUUAUUCAAAAAAAAGUAUAUAAAAUAAUACUGUAGCAUUAUUUGUAAUGUAAUUUAUAUGAGAUAAAAAGUUAGUUAAAAAUUAUAUUCAGGGUAUAUAUAUAUAUUUUUUUUUUUUGGCAAAUCUUGACAAUCAAACAGACCCAAUUAUUGUUAUUAUACUAACUUUUAGUGUAUCAAAAUUUAACCAAAAUUAUUUCUUUUUUUUUUGUAAUUGAAAUGCUUCAUUUUCUUGCACUAAAUAAAUGAAAAUUGUGCAAUGAUAUCUCAUUGACCUUCUAAAAGGGCCAACUAACAAUUUAUGAUACUUCAUAUCUAUAGCAUAAACUGUAGCGGUGGACUGAAACUUGGGAAAUGCCUUGGUAUAAAUGUGCAUUGGCAUGACUGUACAUUUCCUGCUGAAACUGUGAAGAUUGGUUUUAGGACCAUAUCAGGCAAUGUUGUAAAAGACAUUAAACAUAUGUAUCUUGUUUGGAAAAGGAACUUCUGCACUCAGAAUUAGAGCUGCAAACGAAUCGAGUUGCUCAAUUCCGAACUCGACUCAAGAUCGGUGAACAUCGAGCUCGAGUCAAAUUUGAGUUGACCAAGUCGAACUCGAGUUUGAAAAUACUAAUCUUGUUAGUUCCCGAACCGAUUCGAAUUCGAUUAUAUAUAUAAUUUUUUAUUUUAAUAAUAAAAUUAUAUAUAUCUCCAUAAUAUUUUAUUUUUAAAAUAAAAUAAUUAUUUUUAAAAAAAAAUUUAAACUCAAACUUGACAUUUUAAACUCGUCGAGUUCAAACUUGAAUUUGAACGAGACUCAACUCGAUUAGGCCGAAAUUCGACUUGGUUCGAUUGUUUGGACCCUUACACAGAGUAUAUACAACCAUGAUGUAGUCUACAUUGGGUACAUCAAAAUGUGGGAAAUGUGUCACAAUCUAAGGUGCAAAAUGUUGGGGAUAUUGCAAAGAAAAUGGUUGAAUGAUACAAAGAUAAAUACACAAAAUAAAGAUUUCAAAUCUUGAUUCCAAAUCACUUUUCUUUAGGUUUUAGUUGCCCAUUAUUUGUAUGCAAUAGGACUCGGACAAAUUAUCCUUCACCAUAAUUUGAAAUUUGCUUGUCUUUUACUCUUUGCACAAAAUAAGACAAAUCCUACUUGAACUAUGGGCUGUUUUUUAAGAGAAUUCUAUAGCGUAGAAAAGUAAUUUCUAUACAUGAUCCAGAAGUAUUUGAAAGUUGCAACUUUUGUCUAAUGAGUAUUUUCUUAGCCAAGUGAUUAACACCAGUGGUUGGUCUGAAGUUUUUUCAGAGGUUUUAGACACCAUUUCGAGGGGCAUUAACCGUCAAAACAUGAAAAAUUAAACAUUUUGACCGUCACUAAGGAUGCAUCCGCAGAUCAUACUGCAUUUCCAAUGGGGCGCUCAUACCCUUCUAGUUUUCUCCACAGCAGAAGGAUCCCUGCACUCGUAUAAUCACUGUAAAAAGGACCUUUUGUGGAAGUUACUCGUAUAUAUAUGGCUCAGGAUUUACGAAUGAAAUGUACAACAGUGGUCAAAAUCACUGAACAUGCAGCUGUAUUUGAAGUAGAAUGACUAUAAACAUAUGAAUUUGAACCUAAGUGACAUGCAGUUGUACGAGAGCACAAGAUUUCCAUCCAGAUGAAAGGUUUGACAAUGCUGAAACCAAUAACCAAGGGAGUAGAAUUUAUAGUACCAUACACGAAUAAAACACAUGAACUGAACUUUAUCUGAUAUCCAACCGGUCUAUGCGAGCACAGUAAAUUAAUUUCAAAUCAGACGGGAAAAGAAAGGUACAUACAAGAAGCAGGACUGGUCCAACUUACAUUGCCAGCUGCAGAUGAACCCUAUAUGGUAUAUACACAUAAUAACAUUACAGAAUCUAGACAGUGUCGGGAAUGCGGCCGAAUAUAAAUACAGAUUACUUUCCAGAUGGGCUGUAGCAAACUUGGCCAGCAAAUUAUCUGCCAAUGUACCCCAGAUGGUGGUGACUCGGACUACGCAAUACACCUCGGCACUUUCGAGAAUCUGAAGCAGCUGGAUGGCUACCCCAAUGUUGCUCCGUCACACAAUCUGAGCUAGAAGAAACUACCAGUAGCAUCAUUCUGCUAAGGAGCAAUUUAUCACCUGCUUCUCAACUGGAGUAGUUGGAAAAAUCGAUUGCAGUGAGAAUCCUGUGAAAAACACCACAAUGGUUUUGUCGUCAACGAAAGUACCCAGGAUAAAUGAAAUAGGAAGCUAAAAAUCAUAAUGCAUCUCUCAUACAAGAAGAUCAACAGUAAAGCCCCACGUGCUCAGGCAGCCCUCCUUUUCAGACCAUAAGUAAUGGAAGUGAAUGGAUGAAAAUUCAUUUUAGCUAUAGAAGCAAGAAAUUUGAAAUUACAUGAAGGGGAAGAAGAACAGAUGUGAAGCUACCAGCUUUGGAAACAAAGUUCCAUAAAAGAAGCCUGGCACUUCAAUGAUCAUCAGCCUUUUGAAAUGAAUGACCUCACAAGCAAAACAGAAUUUCUCAUUCCCUUAAAGGUAAUUGUGAAUGCCAAUGACAGAUGGCAACGGGAGAAAAUGACUUGAAAAUGAACCAAAGCUCCAACAAAUGAACUCAAAUGGAGUAUAUGUUCUCAUCUAAGACUUAUCACUUAAUAGUCGUCUGCAAAUUACAAAUAGUAGCUGCAAAAACAUAUACGAUAUUAUCACCUUCAAGAACAAAUUUUGAACACCAAGGACAAGUAACAACAUGACAGAAUGACUCAAAAAUAAAAGAGGACCAAAAUUCUAAGAGUUGAAACAGAGGGAAAGAAAAAGUGUAAGGUAGCUGACUACACACGCAAUUCCAUACUAUAAAGUCAUCAUAUAACAAGCAAAAGCAAUCGUAUAAAUUGAACUUUCAUGAUAAAUUCAAAUGCUCACUUCUGGGACCGGAUUGUUAAGAAAACCCGGGACAAACAAAAGGCAAGGAGGGUAGUAUCUCACAUUUGCAAUAUAAUCCAUGAGUGGUAAUUAAUGAUGCUCAAUAAAAAAUGGACUGGAUCUCAGGAAGUAAGUCUAUCCUCAACUGGAUUUCAGAUAGAUAACGCAGUAAAAACAUUAACAUCACUGAUCCAGAAUGGACAAUCAAGACUAAACUACAGCAAUGUUAAAAAAAUAUUGAAUCUGUCUAAAUCUAAAAAAAAAUUCAAGCAAUGGCAGCGCAAUCAUCAUGGGGACAUCAAAGUAGCAGAGUAUCACAUUAUAAGGCCAUUUUGUCAAUCGAGAAAAUAUCUUAAAAAACAAACAAAUCCAAAAUGCUCGUGUUGAAUUUGGCUCUAAUCCAUUUUGAAUACAUGGGUAAAACAACUGUGAGUAUACCAUUCAACUGAAUCUCAGAAUCUCCAGAUUACAACAUCAAAAAUAAAGUACAUAACUCAACAGAGAGGUGGGAAAUGAGGAGAACAGCAUCUCAGAGUCAAUCCCCAUAGUUUUCUUCACUGGUAAUCAAAGUGCAAGGAUAACAAUUGUCAUAUAUCAUCACUGAUGCUCAUCCUCAGAUCAUAAAACAAAUUAAACCACCAGUACAGACUUCAAUAUCGAAAAAGAAAUUGAAAAAAUGGCAUUAUGAAACCAUUAGACUGAUAAUUAUCAUACAGGACCUCAGGAAGACAAAUUAAUCUUCAAUUCCAUUUGGGAAAUUGCAGAUAGAUAACGCAGUUUAUUUCUUAUUACAUCAUCGGUCCUUCCAGGAAAAAUUCAAAGGCAAAUAGGAUAAUACAAAAGAAGAAAAUUUUCCAGCAAGAAGCUCAAGAAGCAGUAAUGAAUGAUUAAAAUGUCUAAACAAGGAGGAGGAACCUAAAAGAACAAUUUAUGCCAGCGGGACUUCACAGUUAGGCAAAAGAACAAAAGACAUAAAACACUAGUUUGGGUCUUCUGGGAUUGGAUGAAUGACGUUGCUUGGCACAUGAAAAUCAAAUGUUUUUAAACUCUUAUGAAAGUGGAGGCAGUCAGUCUGUUGGGUAACCCUUGUUACAGUAUAGGACAUGUUCAGCUGCUGGCUUUAUUCCAUAUAUUUUUUGCUCCAUAAUUAUAUGAAAGCAUAUUUUAGGCAAGAUGACCAAUUAAUAUCAAAUAAGGGGGGGAAGUCAAUUAAAAAGUAUAGAAUGAACCAAUCGAGCUUGUUCCUUUUUAUGUGUGCUUCAGAGGUUCAGGGAUGUUCCCUCGUCAAUGGCCUUUCCCCCAAUUUGCGCUCUAUUUUCCCCUUUCCUCGCAAAGAAUGAAGUAAAAGUUCACACUCUCUGCAACGAACCAGUUUUAUAUAACUAUAUAUUUAAUGACUACUCAAUUAGAACGAGAGAGAGGGAAGUUUACAUGCAUGGUAUAACCGUACAAGGCUAAACCCAUAAAAAACAAAGCAUUCAAACAAAUGAAUCAGAUAACUAAAUGGCUAACAUGCUUCAAAGAUAAAAGAACCUGAAUAUUAUAAACAACAUAUGCACCAAAGAACAAUUGCCAUACCCUGCACCAAACAUCACCAUCAGAACUCAGCUGCCAUACAAUGUACAAUCGCAGCUCCAUUAGGAACUGUGAGAAUCACGUCAGACCAUAAAAUCCUUCCGCUCAACAUUCCAUCCCCAUCCUUCCAAACUUCAAUAUCCGCACACAUUAUCUCCACCUCCUUCCCGCUCCCCUUCCCCUCCCAAACUACACACAACCUUCCAUCGAAAUUCACCAUCGUCGCACCACAUAAAAACCUAGGCAACCCUUUCCCUACACCCCUCAACUCCUUCCAAACAUCUUCCUCCACAUCGUACCCUCUGAUCUUCCCUAAAUAAUCAUAACAAUACAACACUCCCCGAACCACCGCAGCCCGCCCCCUCCACCCCAAAUCAAGCCUUUUUGACACGUUUCCCCACUUCCCCAGCCCAACAUCAUACACCACCCCACCUCUAUCCGCCAUUGCAUAAACUCUCCCCUCCACCACCGCGCUCGCGUGCAUCCACUUCUCCCUCACCUCAAUAGGGCUCGGCACCGGGGCCCACAACCCAGUAUCCGGGUCAAAAACCUCGGCCCAGUUCACAGACCGUGCCCAGCUAUCCACAACACAACCACCUAGAACAUAAAUCUUCCCAUCAACAACCCCGGCCGCAGCGAACUCCCGUCCCACCUUCAUUCUUGGGCCUUGCUCCCACCUAUUAAACCUACAAUCAUAAACCCACAUCGAAUUUAACGGAAUGUCGUUAAUAGACCCCCCAAUUACGUAUAUUUUCGGGCCUAGGACGGCGAACGCAGGUCCUACGGGCUGACACGGGAUGCGGGGAAGGGGAAAAAUGGGUUUUUGUGGGAUUUUUCUGCUAUGGCAAUUAGAGAGGAGAGUGUACCAGUGGAAGGAGUAGUUGACGCGGAGGUUGAGGUAGAGAGAGGUUUGGGUGGUAUGGAGGAGGGACCGGGUGGUGAAGAGUGCAGAGGAGGUUAUGGCGGAGCGCCAUGAUCUUGAGACAAGAGAGAGCUUAGGGUAAUAGUAUCUGGGGAUUCUUGAUAGGCAGUUGAUGGACACGUCAUCUGGGAGGUCUGGGAUCAGCUGGGGUUCGGCCGAUGGUUGUGGCGGCUGGCCGCCACUGGUGGUGGUGGUCAUCUAACCAAUGGACUGUGAAACUUGGGAAAUGCCUAUGUUGUUGCAGCUAAAUACGUAUAGGGACUCUAAAACUUUGGAAAUGCCUAUAUGUUGAAUUAUUGAUUCGCAACCACCUAAAAAAAAAUUUUGAAAAUUAAAUUCAAACUCGACUUGAUUAUUAAUUUAUUUAAGAAUUCAUGCUCGAUUUUGAUGUCAUUAUUAUUAUUUUUUAACUAAAAUUGCUCAUUUUAUGUAAUUGAAAUGCUUCAUUUUCUUAUAUAUUAAAUAAAUGAAAAUUGUGCAAUACCGCAUUGACAUAUCUUCUAAAAAGGCCAUUUGACGUAUACAAAGCGUUGGGGGCCAAAGGGUAAACGCAAUCUGAGAUUUCCAAGUUCGAACUGACAACGGGGAAACAAAAUCUAUCCAACUGAACUCUAAGAUUGCCAAGGAAACAGUUCCAACCGAAUUGCCAAGAUUUUUAACCAGCGAGACAGUAGUAAUGUGCUUAGCUGGAGUAAUUACCAAGUAAACUGCAUAUUUUAGAUCAUACUCUGGUUCCUAGUUAGCUUCUCUUCUUGAACGGGCAUUGGAGCAAAUCUGAUUCUAGCCAACUCAAACUCUUUCAAUUUCAGGCAGUCAUCAAGAGCAUCUGCAGAUGUGCAAAUGUAUUGCCAUUACAAUCCUUGAGAAUCAUGUAAAUUCUGUCACGCAAUUUUGUGCUCCAAUGGCUAUUUGCAGAAAAGAUUCAUCAUCCCAUUUAUUAGACUCCUAUCUCUCUGUAAAUGAAAGAAUAGAAUGCUCUGAAAGUUUCUCAAUAGACCAUAAAGAUUUGCACAAACUGGCUAUAAAGAUAAUUUGAAUAUCAAAGAAUCCUGACACUGUAAAACUAAGCCGAGUCUUGAAAUUUUCUGCAUAAAUGGAGUGUAAGACAUACUUAACAUCAAAAUGGAAAGCACCUGGUGCAUCUUUCAUGUUCUUUUAGUCUCCUUUUUCAGUUAUAGAAUGCAAAACCUCAGGCCUUUCCCAGGCAAUUCCUGCUGGGAUAGGCUUAUGACGGAGGUGAACUUGAAAAAUUUUGCAAAACUCUUGAACCAGAGAUUUGUGAGUAAUAUCAAUCAGCUGGUUAUCAUCAAUGUCAUACUUGCUUUCAGCUCCACGUCGAUUAGAUGAAACAUGUUCCUGCAACAGACCCUUUAUGCUUCCAACUUGACGAUCUUGAAUACCGCAAGGGACAAUUUGACCAAAUGCUGUCAGAUCUGUGGCAACAUUCAAUGCUAAUCCAUGGUAUGCUAUCCACUGUGACACUUUUAUACCAAUAGCUGCCAGUUUUUGGUCUCCUGAAGGGGUCACAGGUGUUAGUCUCUGUCUAUUUCACCAGCAAUCUUAAAUUAAAUGCUAAAUAUGACAUUGCUAUUAAGAAGUCAAUAGCAAAUUAAUUUUGCUAUGAAACCACCACGCAUGGAUCCAUUCAAUCCAGCUUUUCCAGAAGGAUAAAUCCUAAAGCACAUCAGAGGAAGGGAAAAGAUGUCAAGCACAAAAGACAAGAACAAUCUAUCUGUAAAAUUUUAUGCAUACGUGCUGAAAACUCCCAAUUUUCAGAUGAUUAUAAGAUAGGGCUCUGAGGACCCUUCUCCCCUGACUUCUGGGCCAACCCAGUGAUUAUAAUUUAGGUUGAUUAAUCAGCUUUGUGUUAUUAGAUGUCUUGUAGCUCAUAUGCUCUAAUCACUAAUCUCUUUUUCUUGCUUGACCGUUUUACGCCCAUGUUUCUUCAAUAAGAUUAUUCUAAUUAAAAUCUUUCUCCUUUAGUUAUUCAAUUUUACUACACCUAUCCAUAAUAACAAUAACAAAUUACCAAAAUUGUAUGGUUCUUCCAUAGAUGGAUCAAAUAUGUGUGUGUGUGUAUAUAUAUUGUGGAUUCACAUUUUUUUCUCAAUUGAUUUUUCUCCACUCGAAGAUAAAACCAUAUAAAAGUUUUUUUGGAAAACCAAAAUAGUAAUUAAAUUUUCACUUCAAAAAAUUAUUUGUUAGGAAAUUUUUUCUGAGCUCUAUUAUUUGUUAAAAAAUAACUAGUAGCCCUAUAAUACUUGAAGUCUUUGAACAAUUUUAAAAACUUAAGUUUAAAAAUGUGAGAAUCCGAAAAUUUUUAUAUUUUCUAAACAUUAUUUUAUUUCCUUAUCUACAAUUUUAUACUUUCCUUCAAUAUAUUAACUUUAUAUAUAUUUUUAUAAGUGAAUAUAGUUUUUCAAAUCAUUUUUCUAGUAUGAGUCGGUUCAUGUUAAGUUUGAAGUGUAUUAUAGAUAUGGGACCCGCUAGUGCGGUAAAUGCGAUAAAAUUUUGGUGAUUAGGUGAUUUUUGUGUAAAGGAAUAUUAUUUUACAAGGUGUUAGGAGAUAAUUAGAGAUUAGCUAGAUAGAUUAACCAUUGGGAGGAAGAAGAUAAGUUUAAAACAUUCAAGGUGCCAAGUGUCGCGACCCGAUUGGAAGUUGGACUUUUGACCAAGGUUUUUAACUUUCCUAAAACUCAAAUUUUGACCAAAAUCAUCUUCAUUUCUUUCUCAAGUUGGCCGAACCAUAGAGAGGAGAGAAGAGAGAAAAGCCUUCAUCUUGUUCUUCAAUUUCUUAUCCAAAUCUUGAGUUCCAACCGAUUAAAUUGCAAACCACUCCAUAAAAGUGGUAGUUAAGGUAGUUUCCAAGGUGUUUGUGGAGUUAAUUUGGGAGGAAGAAGCCUAAACUACCAUCUUUCUUGUGAUAUAAGGUAAAUUUGCUAGGAAAUCCCUCUUUACAUAAAAAACUAGGAUAUUUGUGGUUUAGCGUUACAAUGUUUGUGAUUUUAUGAGAAAUAUUGUGGUUUGAGGUGAUGAUAAAGAAUUUUCCGUUUUUAUGAUGUAAUUUCUGCUCACAUGUAAUGAUUGAGGGUUGGCCAUGUUUUGCUAGUUUACUAUAUGAAAGAUUAAAGGAUUAUGGAGUAGAUUAACCUGCCUAAAGAAAUUUCUAACUUAUGUACUUAAAUUUCAAAUUUAGGGUUUCGAAUUUGGCCUUGAAGAUGGUUGAUAUUGGAGCUAUUAAUUGGCUUUAUAUUAAGGGUGUUAUGGCCCUAUAAGAGUGUGUUUAAUGACUUGUAAUUUGUAUGUACAAUUGAGGUGAAAUUGGUGGUUGUUUGUAGGAGGGAAAAAUAAAGAUUUUAGAGGGAGGUACUGUUGAAAUUUUUCCGCAGGAACCCUUGAGUAGUCUUGGAAAAAUUGCUAUAUUUUCUUGUAGAAAAAUCGGAAUUUAGUUCUAUUUGUUGUGUUUUAAACUAGAUUCCUAGAGCUAUAUACCGUGAAAAUUUUAGACCAUGUUUUGGUCCGUACGAUUUAUGGUGAUUUUUCAAAAUUAACUGAAAGUGCAUACCUAUCCUGUCGUUUGCUGGAUAAAGCGACAACUUGAGGCUCGAAUAUGACUGACUUGUGUUCUGAAUCUUAUCAUAGUGUCUUCUGAAAAAUUGUAAAUCUUUGAAUCUAUUUCCAAUGGUGUAAAUUUUAUCAAUUUUGGGACUUAAGAAGCUUGAGAUAUAAUUUUUCAAAUAGUGUUAUGCAAAAUUGAAAAAUUCUGUUUUCCUAGAACUGGUCUUACUUUCAUUUUCCACUUCAAAUUUGGAAAUGGUGAACCAUUGUAGGUAGAGUUUUGGGAAGAGGUGAAGGGCUUUGAGGUCGUUCAUGUCUUUAGGACCAACUAUUAUCUUUUCAUUCAAAAAUCAUAUUUUAGCUCUUUGCAUUUGUAGUUCAUUUGAAUAGGCAUAUGACUCGUAGUCGAGACUCACUUGCACAUUCCGUUUACUAGGUUUUGGAUGUGAAAACCUCAAUUGUUUUAUCUUGAUUAUUUUUAGGGUUUUACAGUGAUCAAAACCCUACUUUGAGUGAAAACUUGUGAAGUUAUUUUUGUUUGAACUGGUGAGUGUACCACUCCCCUGAAUUGUUACUUAAUUGGAUCAUCUGUACUUGAAAUCUGUAACAUGAAUGACUAUGAACUCUGUUUAGUCUAAAUGAGAUGAGAGUGUACUUUAUCAUACUCGUUAUCUGGCCUGUGUGACUGUUUACUGUAUAAACUGGAAUCUGUUACUUGUAUCUGUUAUGAGCUUGAAUCAGUUAUCUGUGCCUGUUAUAAUGUCAUUUGGAAGUGUAUUCAACGACCUUCCUGUUAAACCUGAUCUCAAUCUCAUGGGGAGUUAAUUGAAUCGAGCCAACAAGGGAUUGGUCGAGAAAAUUGACAAUCCAUGGGUGUCUGUUCCUAGGGAAUCUAUAGGUAUUGGAAACUCUGGAUUUCCGGUAUACACGAAUAUUACCAUUCAUGUUCCUGGUGAGGUGUUCGGACCCGGUAAGGGGUAUGUUUGGUGGACGGAAUUUGGUGUUAAGUGGUGCGCUACUGAGUUAGUUACUUUACUUGAAAGUUGAAAAAGUGUCAACUACUACUUGAUCAAGAUAUGGUACUGCAACAGGAAUCUGGCUCUUGAGAGCCACUUGUAUCCUUCCUAUUUGAAUCUGUGUUUAAUUGCUUUACUUUAUAUCUGAUAUGUGUAUCUGAUUGAUUAAACGUGAAAUACCAUGAUUCUUGAUUACUAGUAUUUUGGUACCUCAUUGAGCGUAAAGUCACCCCCUUCCCGUCAUCUGUGUUUUCCUUACAGGGGCAAACUGUGAAAUCAUGAUUUUUGGAAGAAAGGGUCGAGUUAGAGUAAACGAUCUUUUGUUAAGCUCCUUUGCAAUAGAAAAACCUUAAUUGUAGUUUAAUCUAAUAUCACACUUUGACUUGUAAAGUUUCAACGUGGGUUUAAAAGUUUUUAUUCAUGUCUCUAUCGCGUAUUUGUUGGUGAAUGUACGUUCGAUGGGUUCAUAUGAACUUUACUUGUAUUCGUUGGAGAUUCGAACGAGUGUGAGAUUUGAUUGAAGAAAGAAAAAAUUUUGGCGGGAAACUGCUUACCCAAUCCGGCCGUAUAUCUGGCCAGUUCUUGGCCGGAUACUUGACCGGAUUGGCAGGGGAGGUUGAAAAAAAAAUAAGGUUUUGCUACUGCCUUGAAUCUGGCCGUGAAUCCGGCUGAAUAUCCGGCUAACUUCUGGCCGGAUUGUGACGUGAACCACUUUUCGUUUCGUUUUCGGUUCCGUCUUCCUUUUCAUUGAAGUGUUUAAUUGAUGUCCCAUUUCAUUAUAUGAUUUGGUAAGUUAUAUUUUUGGCCUAGUGGUCUCCGAUUGUUUGUUUUCUUUUGGUUUUAACACGCGUUUGUGCGAUUUGUUUCCUAGUCCCGACCAGAAUUGAGCAGGCGAUCCGCCGAACUCUUUAAUUUACCUUAGGGAAAUGUGGGGUUGUCACAAAAAACACUAAUUUGGACCAAUUAUAUAUAUAUAUAUAUAUAUAUAUAUGUAUGUAUAUAUUGUGUGGAUUCACAUUUUUUUUCCUCAAUUGGUUUUUCUCUGUAGGAAGAUAAAACCAUAUAAAAGUUUCUUGGACAGCCAAAAUAGUAAUUGAUUUUUCACUUAAAAAAUUAUUUGUUAGAAAAUUUUUUUUGACCUCUAUUAUUUGUUGGAAAAAUAACUAGUAGGACUAGUCUUGAACAAUUUAAGAAACUUAGGGUUAAAAACACCAAUUUGGACCAAUUUGGGCCUCUCCACUGGUAAUAUACAUAAACCUAUCCUAUGGCAGCAUAAAAGUUUCUUCUGUUUUUAGUAUUGCCGUGGUCUUUGUCCCGCCUCUGCUCUGCCUAUCUCCCUCUUCUUCUUUGGCCGCCGCCGCCCGCCACCGCCGCCGCCGAUAGCGCCAGGUUUUUAUUUUGUUUUAUUUUUAGUCAGUUCUUCACCUCCCACCUCUUUUCAUGGGCUUAUUUAUUCUACCGCCUUAGAUAUUUAUCGAAUUUUCUGUUGGAAUUAUCAUGAAGAAAGCAUAUUAAUUACUGAAUUCAGCUGAAUGCUUGCCACAACUUGGGUACAAUUAUAAAUUUGGAUACCUGUGGAAGUCUGGGAAUCUUGUUUAAUUUUUCUUUUCCUUUUUUUUCCUGGUUGUAGCGUGGAGGGGUACAAGGUGAACGCAUGAGUGAGAAUUGUGGACUAGCUAUUGAAUGAAGUUUGCCUUUUGAUAUCUUUGAGUAGUUCCUCUAUUAUGUACUGUGUUUCGUCUUAAUUUAGGGGGGGGGGGGUAAUUUUUUUUUUUUUUGGUUUUUUGGCUGUUCAGCAGUUUGUUGCUGAGGUUUGUCCUCUCUGUGUAUGAUGCGUUCUCUUAUCAAAUAAAGUUACAUUUGUGCUCAAAAUAAAAGAAAAAGUUGAUGAUUAAAUAGAAAUUGAAUCGGCGCUGUCAAAGUUUGAUUUUUGUGUUAAUAAUUUUGGUUUUGUUCCAGUUUAUGCACUCCACUUGCACUUGAGAUUGGAAAGAAACUAAACUAAUAAUGAGAUUGAAGAGAUGGGUAGUUGAGGGUUAUGAAAUUAUUGAAGAAUUUGCUACGAAUAAUUAGGCGUAUUCCAGUGAAGUAUGAGUUGUUUUUUAAGUUAAUAUGAGGUCUUAAUUUACAUGAUUCACAAGGGCUUUAUCAAGGUUUACUAAAAACCCAUUUAGGAUAGCUGGUCAUUUUUUGGACUAAUUGAGAAGUGAGGAUGUUGGCAAAGAAUGUUUACUUUUAUAACAUUUGUCGGUGGAAGAGUAGUGCUGAAUUGUUACUGGCAACACGUAUGGAAGAAAUCAUUCAUUCGGUAGAGUGCAGAUUGAUUCAAGUCUAUUUGCAUUUGAUUUAUAGUGGACAAACCUUUCUUUGCUUGCCCAGCUGCACCUUUUUAUGCACUUUGUUUUCAAGUUUAGGGUUUUUGGAUGUUUUAUCCAUAUUCAAUUAGGUUCCUUUAAUAAUGCAAAGCAAUAAGCGAUGCUUGUUUAUUUAAGUGCUAACACUUUAAACGAAGUCUUGAGUAGUGUUUGUUGUUGGCUGGAAGCACUGCUUGAGGUUGUCUUAACCUGGUCUUGUGAGUCAUUUAGUUUCACCACCAGGACCAGAGAGAUCCACCAAUUAUGUUGGCAGUUGGUCUCAGGAAAGGGUGGUCAGAAGGCCCCUAGUGCAGUGUCUUAGAGCAGCUUAGGAUGAUAAAGUCAAUAGAUGCUGCUUGUGUCUGAAUUCAAACAGGAAAUUAGAACUAAGCAAGGGCAUAAAUAAAAUGCAGAGAGUGUAAUAGGGGCGAUGGAAGAAGUUAUGGUAGUUGAUUCUCUUACUUGUUGAUCAUCAAAAUAAUCAAAGCCAGUUUAUAAGGCAGACCAUAGGAGCCCUAAAUAUUUGAUCUCUUUCUCAUUCUUCUAAACCAUGACGUGUGUUGUCAAUGCCGUAGAAUGUUAGAUUCAUGGAGAAAAAUGCUUAGUCGUAAGAAGUACGUGCUUGUUCUAGGUGAAUUAAACUUACAUCUCAAUUGUUCUAAAAUCAAUGCAAGCUAAAUACUGAAGAAGAUUAUAGGAAUUAUAGUGGAAAAUGAGGGGAUCAGAAGUGUGUGUAUUUUUAUGCAUGUAAAUUUGCAAGCUUUGACUUAAUCUGAUCUACAUUUAGUUACUUUUGGCUUGUUAUCACUCAGAAAUCAUAAAGAAGCUUAGGGUUUUAUGUGCCAAUAGUAGAAACUCUGAGACCACAAUAAGAUGAGCUUAAAACUGAGAAACGGCAUAAAUUUUUUUAAUUGUAUGACAUUCUUCUCUUUGAAAGGAAAUAAAUGAAAAGGAAUAGAACUUCUUUAAUACUUUUCUAUGCUGUUAGUUGUCACCAAAUACUUUUCAUGCCAGUAAGUCAUGAUCUGGUUAAUGAGAUUGGUGGUGUUCUGUUAUCAAGCCUUUAUUUUUGGUUAUAUUAUUGUGUAACAUUUUCCAAUUACAUGGCUUUAUUGAUGGGUGUUCCUUCCCUUGAAUCUUUUGAUGUUGAGAUUACAAUAUGGACUAUCCUCACUGGACGUAAACUGGAAAACUGAAGUUAAAGUCUUUAGUGAAACGGGACCUUUUAAUCUAUUGAGCAUGUCUAUGGCCUUGAAAUGUGUAAAGGUCAAAUUUUAAGUCUAGACUGUGAACAUGUUUCCCUACUAGUCAUUUUAUUACAAGGAGCAAGAUUAAUAUUGCCAUCACAUAACAUCAAAUCAUAGAUGAAGAAUUUGAGAUCAUUGCAAAUGCAGGUUAAAUGGUUCCUGCUCAAUGUCAAUUUUCAAUAUACAAUUUUGCAAAUAUGUACAUUAAAAUGGUUUCUCACAAUGCAAGGAUUCCGAUGUGUCUUAAUUCCCAUUCUAGAUUACUCUCGUUAAGUGUAAUCUAUCUCAUUUUUCAUAUUUUAACCAUGAAUUCUAAUGGACUAAAAGACAAUGUUAGUAAUUUAGUGCUAGAAAUUUUCUAACGCCAUCUGCCUAUGUAUGCAUUAGCGAGGUUAAAUGUAAGUGACAUAUGCAAAGUUAAAACUUAAUUUGCAAAGUUAAAACUUAAUUUCAAAUUUCAUAAAUCAGAGUUGUUGUAACCAUAAUUGGUUUUUACUUACAAAGGACACAUUCAUUAGAGUUGUUUUAACCAUAAUUGAUUAAGCAGCAGUUUGAUGAAUAUGUGCUUCUUGUAUCUUUUUCUCAUUCUGCUCUGUAGUUCCACAUGGUUCUAAUUUUCUCUUGGGUUAAAAAAAAAAGCCCCUGUGGUAAACGUAAUAUACAGAAAAGCCCCUCUUGGUUUCAAAACGCACAAUACGAGACCUCAUACUUUGAAUUAAAUUGUAAAGGUGACGGAAUCCGUUAAAUUUAAUGGAAAUGGACAAAAUGACAAAAAUGCCUUGAUAUAAUUAAGCAAAAGACAGCUUAACAAAUUCAUUUAUUUUAUUCUCUAGAGAGAUUAAAUUAAGGGUUAAGGGGUAGAACAGGUAUAUUUGUUAAAAUAUAGGUAUAAAAUUUUUUUAAAGUUCCAAUAAGUCAUUUCCGUUAAACUUAACGGAUUUCAUCACUUUUAUAAUUUAGUUCAAAACAUUGGGUGUCAUGUUGUACGUUUUGAAACCACGGGGGAUUUUUCUGUAUAUCAACUUUACCACAAGGGGCGCUUUUUUUUUUACCCUUUUCUCUUUGGGUUUGUAUUUUCUGAUUCUAGUUUUCCUUUUGUGUUUGCUGUAAAAGAAAAAUAAAUGAAGCGCUCAAACAAACCAGUAAGGACUAAACUGUUAGAUGAGCAAAGAUUUAAGGGGUUAAACUGUUCGAAAACCCAAAAUUAAUAAGACCCCCUUCUUUCUUUCUUGUGUCUUCCAUCAGCCGCAGUCUACAGCAGGCUACCAAGUCCCCCAAAGCCCAUCAUCAAUCUCUCCUUUUUCUCUCCCCAACUGUUUCCCCUAUCCAUCAUCGAAAAAAGUUGAAUGGGUUCUAUUUGAUCGUCUUAAAUUUAGGAGAUAAUGGUAGGAAAAUUUGUCAGUUCAAUGAUCCAAUGUUGCGCUGGCAAUAAAGAUACUCUUGGCUGCUUAUUGCUUUAUACUAGUAUUUUUUUAACAGAUAACUGUUUUUCAAGGAAUUGAAUAACCACUGACUCUCGGAAAAGGCAUAGGUAUGCCCCCAUUUCGCAGCCAUAAUCUGCUACAUGACGAAAUAAAGAUUCUUUUUUAUAGACAAAGUAUUUGUAGAAAUGUCUGUGAGGUAUUUCUGAGAUGAACCUUUAAUGUGGGAAUUAGAUUGGCAUGUGUUUUGACUAGGAGUAUUUAGCUUUUAACAUUUUCAGCUAAUGGUUAUGCGAUAGAACUUAGGAGAUCAAUACAGUUGCUGGGAGUAGAUUUUCUUUUCUUUUGAAGAAUAUGAAACAUGCUUUUUACUUGGAUGUGAGCUAUUAACUUUUAUCAGUGGGAAUGCUAAACAAGAAAAAUUCUUCAUGGAAAUUAUGAUAGUCUCUAAUUUCAACAUGAAACUAACUUACUGGUUGACAUCAUAAGGGGUGUAUUACUGCCUCGUUGCAGUUGCACGCUUUAUUGAAACAUUGCUGCAAAGAAGUGGAAAAGGUGAUAUUAAGCAGACUGAGAUUUGUGACUAUUAUACUAAUAUGUCUUGAUUUUCUACUUGCUAGAAUACCACAAUCAAUAUGAUUCUACUAGCAAGUACUGUUUCUGGUUCAAUCCCAGUAAACCAACUUAUUAAUUCAUCAAAACAGAGGCCAAGCAGUCGUUCUUGUGUUGUAAAUUCAGCAGUUGCGAUGACAAAUGAAGUUAAAAGAAGGUGCAUUCACUUUUGAACACUGAGACUGUUUGAACACGCAUUUGAGUUUUUCAAACUUUCAUUCUUUGAAUUUGUAUUGCGUGGCAGUUGUGAGUUUUAUGACAUGCAUAAAGAACUCAUUCCGUAUGCUGAGGCAUGGUCUUGGCAGAAGGACAUAGUUAAAAAGAGGAAGGAGUUGAUCGAAAGGGAAAAAGACUGUUCAGACACACUGAUCAUUUUGCAGCACCAUCCUGUUUAUACAUUGGGUACUCGUAGUUCUGAGGCUUACUUGAAUUUUAGCAUGAAAAAUGCGCCCAUUAAUGUAUAUCGAACCGAACGGGGAGGCGAAGUUACAUACCAUGGACCUGGACAGGUAGAUUCUACUUUUCAGGAGAAUUUUGUACCUAAUAUCUUAGGGUGUUAUUUUUAUAGCUCAGGAAUAUUGAUAUUCGGACCUGAACCUGGGUUGACUAACUAGUGUUUUGUGCGAGCCACUCAGAUAUGUGUUUCUCAUGAUAAUGGUAGUCAUGUUAUUAGAACUUUUGUGGGAUCAAUUUGAAGGGAAAGCCAUUUGUUUAAACCUGACUGCAUUCAGGCUGGGUAUAUUUGCUUCAUCCAGCAUUUGGGAAGUUGGGUUUGUUCCACCAUCCCAAAGUCUAGAAUCAAAUAUGUAAUCUUAUAAAUAAGUAGUCUUAUAAGUUGUUCCAGCAGAUUCAGUAGCAUGUAUCCUGUAUCAUGCUCAAGGCUGUCAAUUAAAUAAAUGUGUUUCUUUGAGCAUCAAAACCUUUUUAAUUCUGACAUUUUACAUUUUUGUUUUGUAGCUAGUGAUGUACCCAAUAAUCAAUCUCCGAUAUCACAAAAUGGAUCUUCAUUGGUACCUCAGGGCACUUGAAGAAGUUGUUAUUCGUGUUCUUUCCUCAACAUUUUUCAUUAAAGCUUCACGUAUUGAGGGCCUAACUGGUGUUUGGGUUGGUAGGUUGGCAAUCCUUUGACUAAUAUUCUAUUGCCUUUGCCAUACUUACACAAGCUUAACGGUUGUGAAAUGAGUGAAGGUUAUUCAAUUUGUAAUUUGGAAGGAUUAGGUUUGGCCUCUAAUAACUGUUUGUAUAGAAUUCCUUUCUAUGUGAAUAAGUAACCAUGUAGCUGCUGAAAAUGCCUUGAUGUCUUCCUAUCAUUAAAGAGGAUUUGAUUAUUGUUCAUUGAACUAGUUGGCAGUGAAAUCCAAGGCAAGAAUCUUGAAUGUAGAUUCCAUAAUAGAAUGAGUUCUGUGAACAUUUUGCAAGUAGACUUUUCAUUGAAAAAUUGGCAGACUAAAAAUAUGGUCAGUGCUAUCAUUUUCAUCGGUUGUCAUUAAGGAUAGAAAGAACUUACACUUUUUUAUGUCCUUGGAUUAAAUUUGUAGUCUACUAUCAUGGAUUAAAUUUGUAGUCUACUAUCAUGUUUUCACUUCUUAAGGCACUUUGACAGUCCAUUUGUUUUUAGCAACACUUGAAUCUCAUUCCAUAUGUAUCAUCUGAAAAUUGUGAGUUUUCAGCACAUAUGCAUAAAGUUUUACAGAUAGAUUGUUCUUGUCUUUUGUCCUUGACAUCUUUUCCCUUCCUCUGAUGUGCUUUAGGAAUUAUCCUUCUGGAAAAGCUGGAUUGAAUGGAUCCAUGCGUGAUGGUUUUAUAGUAAAAUUAAUUUGCUUGUAAAAUUAAUUUGCUAUUGACUUCUUAAUAGCAAUGUCAUAUUUAGCAUUUAAUUUAAGAUUGCUGGUGAAAUAGACAGAGACUAACACCUGUGACCCCUUCAGGAGACCAAAAACUGGCAGCUAUUGGUAUAAAAGUGUCACAGUGGAUAGCAUACCAUGGAUUAGCAUUGAAUGUUGCCACAGAUCUGACAGCAUUUGGUCAAAUUGUCCCUUGCGGUAUUCAAGAUCGUCAAGUUGGAAGCAUAAAGGGUCUGUUGCAGGAACAUGUUUCAUCUAAUCGACGUGGAGCUGAAAGCAAGUAUGACAUUGAUGAUAACCAGCUGAUUGAUAUUACUCACAAAUCUCUGGUUCAAGAGUUUUGCAAAAUUUUUCAAGUUCACCUCCGUCAUAAGCCUAUCCCAGCAGGAAUUGCCUGGGAAAGGCCUGAGGUUUUACAUUCUAUAACUGAAAAAGGAGACUAAAAGAACAUGAAGGAUGCACCAGGUGCUUUCCAUUUUCCUGUUAAGUAUGUCUUACACUCCAUUUAUGCAGAAAAUUUCAAGACUCGGCUUAGUUUUACAGUGUCAGGAUUCUUGGAUAUUCAAAUUCUCUUUAUAGCAAGUUUGUGCAAAUCUUUAUGGUCUAUUGAGAAACUUUCAGAGCAUUUUAUUCUUUCAUUUACAGAGAGAUAGGAGUCUAAUAAAUGGGAUGAUGAAUCUUUUCUGCAAAUAGCCAUUGGAGCACAAAAUUGCGUGACAGAAUUUACAUGAUUCUCAAGGAUUGUAAUGGCAAUACAUUUGCACAUCUGCAGAUGCUCUUGAUGACUGCCUGAAAUUGAAAGAGUUUGAGUUGGCUGGAAUCAGAUUUGCUCCAAUGCCUGUUCAAGAAGAAGAGCUAACUAGGAACCAGAGUAUGAUCUAAAAUAUGCGGUUUACGUGGUAAUUACUCCAGCUAAGCACAUUACUAGUUUGCAUUGUAUGUGCUUUUAAUUUUCCUUCUCUAUAUUUUUGUGAUACUGUGAAGUAGUUUGAGGGUGCUAUAUGUUUAAGCAUUACUAGGUUACAGCUGAUUUUUACAAAACUGCCAUCUUUAGAUCAUCUUGCUGAUAGCACAUUGAAAUUUAGUUCAGCAUUAUAAUUUGUAUAAAGUUACUUGUGAUUUGGAUCUGUUGAUUGACAAAAAUUUUUAAUUAGGCUGACUUAGGGAUAUAGCCUCUGCCUGGCCCUCGAGUACUUGUUUCCUGGAGGCAUCAACUUCUGUAUCCUUCAAGGCGUGUUGUGGUGGCAAAAGUUGAACCCCACUGACGGGAAGCUUUGGGAGAUCUCAAUUCAAACUGUCAAAAAGCAAUAUGGCUCAAAAUUGGUGGCAGGAACCCAUAAGAGAGAUUUAGCAGAUUUUGAUUAUGUACUGCAAUUGGACAAGGGGAGCUGGAUAUGUUGAUCAGCUCAACCAGGAUUCAGACAGUCUUGCUGGUUGAAACUUGUAAAAAAUCUUGGCAUUUCAGUUGGAACUGUUUCCUUGUUAACGGUUGGAAAUCUUAGAGUUCAGUUGGAUAGAUUUUGUUUCCCCGUUGUCAGUUCGAACUUGGAAAUCUCAUAUUGUGUUUUCCCUUUGGCCCCCAUCGCUUUGUAGUUUGUAGUGCGUCCGAGUAUACAUCAAAUGGCCCUUUUAAAAGACAUGUCAAUGAGAUAUUGCACAAUUUUCAUUUAUUUAGUAUAUAAGAAAAUGAAGCAUUUCAAUUACAUAAAAUGAAUAAUUUUAGUUAAAUAUUGCUAACACUUAAAAAUUAAUAAUAAUGACAUCAAAAUCAAGCAUGAAUUCUUAAAUAAAUUAAUAACCAAGUCGAGUUUGAAUUUAAUUUUCAAAAUUUUUUUUGAGGUGGUUGCCAAUCAAUAAUUCAACAUAUAGGCAUUUCCAAAGUUUUAGAGUCCCUAUACGUAUUUAGCUGCAGGCAUUUCCCAAGUUUCACAGUCCAUUGGUUAGAUGACCACCACCACCACCAGUGGCGGCCAGCCGCCACAACCAUCGGCCGAACCCCGGCUGAUCCCAGACCUCCCAGAUGACGUGUCCAUCAACUGCCUAUCAAGAAUCCCCAGAUACUAUUACCCUAAGCUCUCUCUUGUCUCGAGAUCAUGGCGCUCCGCCAUAACCUCCUCUGCACUCUUCACCACCCGGUCCCUCCUCCAUACCACCCAAACCUCUCUCUACCUCAUCCUCCGCAUCAACUACUCCUUCCACUGGUACCCUCUCCUCUAUAAUUGCCAUAGCAGAAAAAUCCCACAAAAACCCAUUUUUUCCCUUCCCCGCAUCCCGUUUCAGCCCGUAGGACCUGCGUUCGCCGCCUUAGGCCCGAAAAUAUACGUAAUUGGGGGGUCUAUUAACAAAACUCCGUCAAAUUCGAUGUGGGUUUAUGAUUGUAGGUUUAAUAGGUGGGCGGAAGGCCCAAGAAUGAUGGUGGGACGGGAGUUCGCUGCGGCCGGGGUUGUUAAUGGGAAGAUUUAUGUUCUAGGUGGUUGUCUUGUGGAUAGCUGGGCGGAGGUUUUUGACCCGGAUACUGGGUUGUGGGCCCCGGUGCCAAGCCCUAUUGAGGUGAGGGAGAACGGGAUGCACGCGAGCGCGGUGGUGGAGGGGAGAGGUGGGGUGGUGUAUGAUAUUGGGCUGGGGAACUGGGGAAAAGUGUCAAAAAGGGCUGCGGUGGUUCGGGGAGUGUUGUAUUGUUGUGAUUAUUUAGGGAAGAUCAGAGGGUACGAUGUGGAGAAAGGUGUUUGGAAGAAGUUGAAGGGUGUACGGUUGCCUAUUUUUUCAUGUGGUGCGACGAUGGUGAAUUUCGAUGGGAGGUUGUGUGUUGUUUGGGAGAAAAAGGGGAGUGGGAAGGAGGUGGAGAUAAAGUGUGCGGAUAUUGAAGUUUGGAAGGAAGAGGAUGGAAAGUUGGAUGGAAGGAUUUUGUGGUCUGGUGUGAUUCUCAAAGUUCCUGAUGGAGCUGCGAUUGUACAUUGUAUGGCAGCUGAGUUCUGAUGGUGAUGUUUGGUGCAGGGUAUGGCAAUUGUUCUUUGGUGCAUACGUUGCUUAUAAUAUUCAGGUUCUUUUAUCUUUGAAGCAUGUUAGCCAUUUAGUUAUCUGAUUCAUUUGGCCUUGUUUGGAUUGCCGGUUUCGUCGAAAAAUUACGCAGUUUUUCGUGAUCACAUUUCCGUAUUACCUUUUUUUCUCACAUACAUCAAAUCGCUACAGUAAUUUUUCCACGAAAAAUCAAGAAAAAUGCAAUCCAAACACUUUUUUAUGCGUUUAGCCUUGUACGGUUAUACCAUGCCUGUAAACUUCCCUCUCUCUCGUUCUAAUUGAAUAGUCAUUAAAUAUAGUUAUAUAAAACUGGUUCGUUGCAGAGAGUGUGAACUUUUACUUCAUUCUUUGCGAGGAAAGGGGAAAAUAGAGCGCAAAUUGGGGCAAUGGCCAUUGACGAGGGAACAUCCCUGAACCUCUGAAGCACACAUAAAAAGGAACAAGCUCGAUUGGUUCAUUCUAUACUUUUUAAUUGACUUCCCCCCCUUAUUUGAUAUUAAUUGGUCAUCUUGCCUAAAAUAUGCUUUCAUAUAAUUAUGGAGCAAAAAAUCUACGGAAUAAAGCCAGCAGCUGAACAUGUCCUAUACUGUAACAAGGGUUACCCAACAGACUGACUGCCUCCACUUUCAUAAGAGUUUAAAAACAUUUGAUUUUCAUAUGCCAAGCAACGUCAUUCAUCCAAUCCCAGAAGACCCCAGCUAGUGUUUUAUGUCUUUUGUUCUUUUGCCUAACUGUGAAGUCCCGCUGGCAUAAAUUGUUCUUUUAGGUUCCUCCUCCUUGUUUAGACAUUUUAAUCAUUCAUUACUGCUUCUUGAGCUUCUUGCUGGAAAAUUUUCUUCUUUUUUAUUAUCCUAUUUGCCUUUGAAUUUUUCCUGGAUGGACCGAUGAUGUAAUAAGAAAUAAACUGCGUUAUCUAUCUGCAAUUUCCCAAAUGGAAUUGAAGAUUAAUUUGUCUUCCUGAGGUUCUGUAUGAUAAUUAUCAGUCUAAUGGUUUCAUAAUGUCAUUUUUUCAAUUUCUUUUUCGAUAUUGAAGUCUGUACUGGUGGUUUAAUUUGUUUUAUGAUCUGAGGAUGAGCAUCAGUGAUGACAUAUGACAAUUGUUAUCCUUGCACUUUGAUUACCAGUGAAGAAAACUAUGGGGAUUGACUCUGAGAUGCUGUUCUCCUCAUUUCCCACCUCUCUGUUGAGUUAUGUACUUUAUUUUUGAUGCUGUAAUCUGGAGAUUCUGAGAUUCAGUCGAAUGGUAUACUCACAGUUGUUUUACCCAUGUAUUCAAAAUGGAUUAGAGCCAAAUUCAACACGAGCAUUUUGGAUUUGUUUGUUUUUUAAGAUAUUUUCUCAAUUGACAAAAUGGCCUUAUAAUGUGAUACUCUGCUACUUUGAUGUCCCCAUGAUGAUUGCGCUGCCAUUGCUUGAUUUUUUUUUAGAUUUAGACAGAUUCAAUAUUUUUUGAACAUUGCUGUAGUUUAGUCUUGAUUGUCCAUUCUGGAUCAGUGAUGUUAAUGUUUUUACUGCGUUAUCUAUCUGAAAUCCAGUUGAGGAUAGACUUACUUCCUGAGAUCCAGUCCAUUUUUUAUUGAGCAUCAUUAAUUACCACUCAUGGAUUAUAUUGCAAAUGUGAGAUACUACCCUCCUUGCCUUUUGUUUGUCCCGGGUUUUCUUAACAAUCCGGUCCCAGAAGUGAGCAUUUGAAUUUAUCAUGAAAGUUCAAUUUAUACGAUCGCUUUUGCUUGCUAUAUGAUGACUUUAUAGUAUGGAAUUGCGUGUGUAGUCAGCUACCUUACACUUUUUCUUUCCCUCUGUUUCAACUCUUAGAAUUUUGGUCCACUUUUAUUUUUGAGUCAUUCUGUCAUGUUGUUACUUGUCCCUGGUGUGCAAAAUUUGUUCUUGAAGGUGAUAAUAUCGUAUAUGUUUUUGCAGCUACUUUUUUUAAUUUGCAGACAUCUAUUGAGGGAUAAGUGUUAGAUGAGAACGUAUACUCCAUUUGAGUUCAUUUCUUGGAGCUUUGGUUCAUUUUCUAGUCAUUUUCUCCUGUCGCCAUCUUUCAUUGGCAUUCACAAUUCCCUUUAAGGGAAUGAGAAAUUCCUGUUUACUUGUGAGGUCAUUCAUUUCAAAAGGCUGACAAUCAUUCAAGUGCCAGGCUUCCUUUAUGGAACUUUGUUUCCAAAGCUGGUCGCCUCACAUCUGUUCUUCUUCCCCUUCAUGUAAUUUCAAAUUUCUUGCUUCUAUAGCUAAAAUGAAUUUUCAUCCAUUCACUUCCAUUGCUUAUGGUCUGAAAAGGAGGGCUGCCUGAGCACGUGGGGCUUUACUGUUGAUCUUCUUGUAUGAGAGAUGCAUUAUGAUUUUUAGCUUCCUAUUUCAUUAAUCCCGAGUACUUUCAUUGAUGACAAAAAACCAUGUGGUGUUUUUAACAGGAUUCUCACUGCAAUCAAUUUUUCAAACUAUUCCGGUUGAGAAGUAGGUGAUAAAUUGCUCCUUAGCAAAAUGAUGCUACUGCAGUUUCGUCUAGCUCAGAUUGUGUGACUAAGCUACAUUGGGUUAGCUAUCCAGCUGCUUCAGAUUCUCCAAAAUGCCGAGGUGUAUUGCGUAGUCCAAGUCGCCACCACCUGUGGUCCAUUGGUUGAUAAUUUGCUGGCCAAGUUUGCUAUAUUCAAUCUGGAAAUUAUCUUCUGUAUUUCUAUUCAGCCACAUUCUCGACAAUAUCUACUUUCUCCAAUAUGUGUGUAUAGUAGUAGGGUUUAUCUGCAGCUGGCAAUGUAAGUUCGACCGGUCCUGCUGCUUCUUGUUGUAUGUACCUUUCUUUUCCCUUUUGAUUCGAAAGUAAUUUACUGUGCUCAGACAGACCAGUGGAUGUCAGAUAAGCUCAUGUGUUUUAUUCGUGCAUUGUGCUAUAAAUUCUACUCCCUCAGUUAUUGGUUUCAGAAUUGUUAAAUCCUUUCAUCUGGAUGGAAAUCUCGUGCUCUCAUGCAACUGUAUAUCACUUAGGAUCAAAUUCAUAUGUUUAUAGUCAUUCCACUUCAAAUACAACUGCAUGUUCAGUGAUUUUGAGCAUUGUUGUUCAUUUCAUUCGUAAAUCCUGAAUAUGAAGUGUCUAUAUAUAUAUAUAUAUAUAUAUAUAUAUAUAUAUGUAUGUAUGUAUGUAUAGGAGUGACUUCCCACGAAAGGUCGUUUUUACAGUUAUUCUACAAGUAUAGGGAUCCUUCAGCAAUGGAGAAAAAUGUCGUGCUCGCCUUCCUAGGGACGAGGACAUAGAAGAGCAUGAGCCCCCACUGGACAUUCGCAGGUGGAUCUUGUAUGAUCUUCAGACGGAUCCUUAGUGACGGUCAAAAUGUUUAAAUUUUCUGUUUUGACACCUUUUUUUCUUGUUUUGACGGUUAAUGCCCCUCGAAAUAGUGUCUAAAACUUCUAUAAAAACGUCAGACCAACCACUGGUGUUAAUCACUUGGCUAAGAAAAUACAUGAUUCAUUAGACAAAAGUUGCAACUUUCAAAUACUUCUAGAUCAUAUAGGGGGUGAUUUGCUAUAGAAAAUUACUAGAAUUCCCUUAAAAAACAGUCCAUAGUUCAAGUAGGGUUUGUCUUACUUAGUGCAAAGAGUAAAAGAUAGACAAAUUUCAAAUUAUGGUGAAGGCUAAUUUGUCCAAGCUCUAUUACUAGACAACUAAAAUCUAAAGAAAAGUGAUUUUGAAUCAAGAUUUGAAACCUUUAUUUUGUGUUUUUAUCUUUGUAUCAUUCAGCCAUUUUCUUUGUAAUAUUCCCAACAUUUUGCACCUUUGAUCGUGAUACAUUUCCCACGCUUUGAUACACCCAAUAUAGACCACAUCAUAGGUGUAUAUUCUGAAUAGGGGUGUAAGAGUCGAGUAUAUUCUGAAUAUACAACAUCAUGGGUAUAUUCUGAGUUUCGAACUAAUCAAACCGAGUCUCGUUCGAACUCGAUUUUGAACUCGUCGAGUUCAAAAUGUCUAGUUUGAGUUUAAAAUUUUUUUAAAAAAUUAAUUAUUUUAUUUUAAAAUGAAUAAAAUAAUAAUUUUUCUUAACGAAUAAUAAAAUAUUAGAGAUAUAUAUAUGUAAUUUUACUAUUAAAAUAAAAAAUUAAAUACAUAAUCAAAUUUGAACCGGCUCACGAGAUAAUGAGAUUAGUAUUUUUGAACUCGAAUUUGACUUGAUUAACUUGAAUUUGACUCGAGCUCGAUGUUGACCGAACUCAAGCGAUUCGAUUCGUUUGCAGGUUGCGGUCCUAAUUCUGAGUACAAAAGUUCCUUUCCCACACAAAAUACAUAUGAUUGAUGUCUUUUACAACAUUGCCUGAUAUGGUACUAAAACCAAUCUUGACAGUUUCUGCAGUAAAUAUGUUCUCAUCUCAAGAUCUACGUCACUAUUUAUACAGUUAUCCAUAUGCACAUUUAUACCAAGGCAUUUCCCAAGUUUCAGGCUUUCAGCUACAGGGUUUCAACCUAGGUCCAUUGGGGCCUUGUUCAGUUACAGGGUUUUUUAGUGAGUCCCUUUUAUAUUAGUCUUUGACUCAAUUUUACGAUGACUCCUGAGUGUUUCUAAUUUAACUGGGUGUGUGUUGAUUUCGGUUCGGAAGAAAAAUUUCCCAAGUUUCAGUCCACAGCUACAGUUAUGCUAUGGAUAUGAAGUAUCAUAAAUUGUUAGAUGACCCUUUUAGAAGGUGAAUGAGAUAUUACUGCACAAUUUUCAUUUAUUUAGUGCAAGAAAAUGAAGCAUUUCAAUUACAAAAAAAAAAAAGAAAUAAUUUUGGUUAAAUUUUGAUACAUUAAAAGUUAGUAUAAUAACAAUAAUUGGGUCUGUUUGAUUAUCAAGAUUUGCAUAUAUAUAUAUAUAUAUAUAUAUUAUAAAUAUAAUUUUGAAUCACUUUUUUACCUAAUAUAAAUUACAUUACAAGUAAUGCUACAGUAUUAUUUUAGAUACUUUUUAGCUUAUGGGAGGUCUCUACAGUUAAAUCCCUAUGCAUAUUUAGCUGCAACCACCUUGACCGAGCAACCAACCAACAUAGGCAUUUCCAAAGUUUUCACAGUACACUGGUUAGAUAUGACCACCACCACCUCCUCCAGUGGCAGCCAGCCGCCACAACCAUCGGCUGAACCCCAGCUGAUCCCGAAGCUCCCAGAUGACGUGUCCAUCGACUGCCUAGCAAGAGUCCCCAGCUCCCAUUACCGUGAUCUCUCUCUUGUCUCGAAAACAUGGCACUCCGCCAUAACCUCCUCUACACUCUUGACCGCCCGGUCCCGCCUCCGUACCACCCAAACCUUUCUUUACCUUAACCUCCGCAUCGACAACUCCGUCGACUGGUACACUCUCGUCCCUAAUUGCCAAAACCCACAAAAACUCAUUUUUCCCCUUCCCCGCAACCGGGUCCAGCCCGUAGGGCCCGCGUUGGCUGUCCUAGGCCCGAAAAUAUACGUAAUUGGGGGGGCUUUUGAUGGAAUUCCGUCAAAUUCGAUGUGGGUUUAUGAUUGUAGGUUCAAUAGGUGGGAGGAAGGCCCUAGAAUGAAGGUGGGCCGGGAGUUCGCCGGAGCCGGGGUUGUUGAUGGGAAGAUUUAUGUUCUAGGUGGUUGUGUUGUGGAUGGUACGGCUCAGUCUAUGGACUGGGCCGAGGUUUUUGACCCGGUUACCGGGUUGUGGACCACGGUGCCGAGCCCUGUUGAGGUGAGGUUGAAGCGGAUGCACGCGAGCGUGGUGAUGGAGGGGAGAGUUUAUGCAAUGGCGGGUAGAAGUGGGGAGGUGUAUGAUGUUGGGGUGGUCGGGAAGUGCGGAAACGUGUUAAUAAUUUGUCGGCGGCAGCCUGCGGUGGUUCAGGGAGUGUUGUAUUGUUGCAAUAUUUUUGGGAAGAUUGCAGGGUAUGAUGUGGAGGAAGGUGUUUGGAAGGAGUUGAAGGGUGUAGGGAAAGGGUUGCCUACGUUCGUCUAUGGCACAACGAUGGUGAAUUUCGAUGGGAGGUUGUGUGUUGUUUGGGAGAAAAAGGGAAGUGGGAAGGAGGUGGAGAUAAAGUGUGCGGAUAUUGAAGUUUGGAAGGAUGGGGAUGGAAUGUUGGCUGGAAGGAUUUUGUGGUCUGGUGUGAUUCUCAAAGUUCCUAAUGGAGCUGAGAUUGUGCAUUGUAUGGCAGCUGAGUUCUGAUCGUGAUGUUUGGUGCAGGGCAUGGCAAUUGUUCUUUGGUGGACAUGUUGUUUAUAAUAUUCAGGUUCUUUCAUCUUUGAAGUAUGCUAGUCAUUUAGUUAUCUGAUUCAUUUGUUUGAAUGCUUUGCUUUUUGUGGGUUUAACCUCAUAUCAUGCAUGUAAACUUCCCUUCCUCGUUCUAAUUGAAUAGUCAUUUAAUAUAGUUAUAUAAAACUGGUUCGUUGCAAAGAGUGUGAACUUUUACUUCAUUCUUUGUGAGGAAAGGGGAAAAUAGAGCGCAAAUUGGGGAAAUGGCCAUUGAGGAGGAACAUCCCCGAACCUCUGAAGCACAUAUAAAAAGGAAUAAGCUCGUGUACUACCCUACAAAUUGUAGUAUUGUUUCACACUGAAUAAGCUCUAUGGGUAGUCAAAUUUUUACUGGAAAACAAAGUUAAUUGUAGGCUGACAUGAAUAAGAAUAAUGGCAUAUAUAUUGCCAUUGAAAAGAUAUUGAAAAUUGCCUCUGCUUAGAGGGCCCCUUCGUUGCCUUUAUUUGUCCUUUUCCAUAUUUUCAUUUAAUUUUUCAGUAAUUCAAGUAACUUAGUUAGAUUUUUUUAUUCAAGAAUUGGUGUUUCAUUCAUGACCUUUGGAACUUAAACACAAUGUCAUGUGUUGAAUUAUGUAAAUGUGUCUUUGGUAGCACAUUUUGGUAUAGUGGCUUGCAACCCUUUGAUACUCUUCUGCUGGGUAAAUGAACUUUAUAAAUGUAGUUACCUUCACCUGUGUCCGCAAAAUAUUAUUGCUGAUAAACUGAAGUUUCAUUAUAUAUUAUCAGGCAGAAAAAAACACUUAGCGAAAGAGGGGGGGAAAAGUUUGAAGGUUAAGUGUUGUGCUGUGUAUACUUAUUAGUAGUGAAGGUGUUUUGGACUUGUGCUUAUGAAUGCCGGAUCCAAGUAGUCAAAAGUACUACUGAAAUUAUUGCAUAGAUUUUUGGAAUUUUAUUACUAAGGUUUAGCCUAAACUAUAGCACUAAUUUACGGGCUGCUUUGUUCGUGAUCCAGAGUAACAUUUGGUUUUGGAAUAGUAAACUAGGCGAUCGCAAUGAUUGUAAUUCAACCUUUUGCUGUGCUUGGCUGGUUCUAUACAUUUUAAUUAACUUUUUUCUCCCUUAUUUCUAGUUAAUUUUUCAUCUUCUUAGUCCUUUUCUGACUUAAAUUUUUCCCCCUUAUUUGAUAUUAAUUGGUCAUCUUGCCUAGAAUAUGCUUUCAUAUAAUUAUGGAGCAAACAAUCUAUGGAAUAAAGCCAGCAGCUGAACAUGUCCUAUACUGUAAUGAGGGUUACCCGGCAGACUGACUGCCUCCACUUUCAUAAGAGUUCAAAAACAUUUGAUUUUCAUAUGCCAAGCGAUGUCAUUCUUCCAAUCCCAGAAGACCCAAACUAGUGUUUCAUGUCUUUUGUUCUUUUGCCUAACUAUGAAGUCCGCUGGCAUAAACUGUUCUUUUAGCUUCUUUCUCCUUGUUUGGACAUUUUAAUCGUUCAUUACUGCUUCUUGAGCUUCUUGCUGGAAAAUUUUCUCCUUUUUUCUUAUCCUAUUCGCCUUUGAAUUUUUCCUGGAUGGACCAAUGAUGUAAUAAGAAAUAAACUGCGUUAUCUAUCUGCAAUUUCCCAAAUGGAAUUGAAGAUUAAUUUGUCUUCCUGAGGGUCCUGUAUGAUAAUUAUCAGUCUAUUCAUUUUUUUUAAUUUCUUUUUCGAUAUUGAAGCGUGUACUGGUGGUUUAAUUUGUUUUAAGAUCUGAGGAUGAGCAUCAGUGAUGAUAUAUGACAAUUGUUAUCCUUGCACUUUGAUUACCGGUGAAGAAAACUAUGGGGAUUGACUCUGAUAUGCUGUUCUCCUCGUUUCCCACCUCUCCGUUGAGUUGUGUCCUUUAUUUUUGAUGCUGUAUACUCACAGUUGUUUUACCCAUGUAUUCAAAAUGGAUUAGUGCCAAAUUCAACACAAGCAUUUUGGAUUUGUUUGUUUUUUAAGAUAUUUUCUCAAUUGACAAAAUGGCCUUAUAAUGUGAUACUCCACUACUUUGAUGUCUCCAUGAUGAUUGCGCAGCCUUUGCUCAAUUUUUUUAGAUUUAGAUUGAUUCAAUAUUUUUUGAGCAUUGCUGUGGCUUGGUCUUUAUUGUCCAUUCUGGAUCAGUGAUGUUAAUGUUUUUACUGCAUUAUCUAUCUGAAAUCCAGUUGAGGAUAGACUUACUUCCUGAGAUCCAGUCCAUUUUAUGUUUAGCAUCAUUAAUUACCGCUCAUGGAUUAUAUUGCAAAUGUGAGGUACUACCCUCCUUGCUUUUUCUUUGUCCCGGGCUUUCUUAACAAUCUGGUCCCAGAAGUGAGCAUUUGAAUUUAUCAUGAAAGUUCAAUUUAUACGAUCGCUUUUGCUUGCUAUAUGAUGACUUUAUAGUAUGGAAUUGCAUGUGUAGUCAGCUACCUUGCACUUUUUCCUUCACUCUGUUUCAACUCUUAGAAUUUUGGUCCUUUAUUUUUGAGUCAUUCUGUCAUGUUGUUACUUGUCCCUGGUGUGCAAAAUUUAUUCUUGAACGUGAUAAUAUCGUAUAUGUUUUUGCAGCUACUUUUUUUAAUUUGCAGACAUCUAUUGAGGGAUAAGUGUUAGAUGAGAACAUAUACUCCAUUUGAGUUCAUUUCUUGGAGCUUUGGUUCAUUUUCUAGUCAUUUUCUCCUGUCGCCAUCUGUCAUUGGCAUUCACAAUUCCCUUUAAGGGAAUGAGAAAUUCCUGUUUACUUGUGAGGUCAUUCAUUUCAAAAGGCUGACAAUCAUUCAAGUGCCAGGCUUCCUUUAUGGAACUUUGUUUCCAAAGCUGGUCGCCUCACAUCUGUUCUUCUUCCCCUUCAUGUAAUUUCAAAUUUCUUGCUUCUAUAGCUAAAAUGAAUUUUCAUCCAUUCACUUCCAUUACUUAUGGUCUGAAAAGGAGGGCUGCCUGAGCGCGUGGGGCUUUACUGUUGAUCUUCUUGUAUGAGAGAUGCAUUAUGAUUUUUAGCUUCCUAUUUCAUUAAUCCCGAGUACUUUCAUUGAUGACAAAAAACCAUGUGGUGUUUUUCACAGGAUUCUCACUGCAAUCGAUUUUUCCAACUAUUCCGGUUGAGAAGUAGGUGAUAAAUUGCUCCUUAGCAGAAUGAUACUACUGCAGUUUCGUCUAGCUCAGAUUGUGUGACUAAGCUACAUUGGGUUAGCUAUCCAGCUGCUUCAGAUUCUCCAAAAUGCCGAGGUGUAUUGCGUAGUCCAAGUCACCACCACCUGUAGUCCAUUGGUUGAUAAUUUGCUGGCCAAGUUUGCUAUAGCCAAUCUGGAAAUUACCUGUAUUAUUCUCGACAAUAUCUACUUUCUCCAAUAUGUGUGUAUAGUAGGGUUUAUCUGCAGCUGGCAGUGUAAGUUCGACCGGUCCUGCUGCUUCUUCUUGUAUGUACCUUUCUUUUCCCUUUUGAUUCUAUAGUAAUUUACUGUGCUCACACAGACCAGUGGAUGUCAGAUAAGUUCAUGUGUUUAUUCGUGCAUUGUGCUAUAAAUUCUACUCCCUCAGUUAUUGGUUUCAGAAUUGUUAAAUCCUU